rnacentral:lncRNA from 1 species
CUUGAUAUGUUGUAUUUCUUCUGACUUUUUUGUCCUUAUCAUCAUCUUUUUAGUUUUUUGUUCAUGUUUUUUUUUUUCAAUUUGUUGGCACAUUGGAUCUUAAUUUAGUUUUAGUUGUAGUUUAAUUUUGGGUUUUGGUUGAUUUGAGUGAGGUAUUUUUGGUUUAGAGGAUGAAGGAGAAAAAGACGAGGACAAGUUAGUCAUUUCACUUGGACUUCACGGACAUUUUGCAACACCAUCAGCAGUUCAGUACCACGGACAAACCUUACAACAAAACUAUACUUUUUUGACCACUUGUGCAACAAAUGAAAUAUCUAGAUGAAAACCAUAACUUUUGAAAUAUCAAAAGGACGAAAUACUAUUGUCUGUCCCCUGGGGUAUCCAAAAAAUAUCAUUUUCCAGGUAAAUACUCUGCAACAUGAAAUUGCAAUAAAUAUAAUAUGUGGGUCAGGGUGAUAGAAGUUGGAGGGCAAAAAAGACAUUUACAUGUCACUGGUUUUUGAUAGUCAUGUACUCUGAUGUUAACUAAGACAACAUACUGCCUCUCCUCUCUGUGUAUGUUGAAUCAUAUGAAUAAGAUCCCAUGAAAAAUGGCCAAACCUAGAAUAACAUGUCAUUAACAGAUUUAGUUAAAACUAGCCAAAAGGGUAAAUGUGUAAAUUGUACCAAAAUAUAAAAGCCUCUUUUUCGCAAGUGUUCCACUCCCUCAUCGAAUAUUCACUUUUUUAAUGCAUCUGGAUCCGUGACUCAGCCUUCAUAAUCCAAAAAGCUUGACCUCUGAAUAACAAAAGAGCAACUUGCUUAUUCUGUUUACAUUGAAUAUAGACAAUGCACUAUUUUUUUACCAAAAAGAGCAGCGUACUUACAUUUCUUUACCAAUAGAAGCAAUGUAUUUAUACUUUGUUCUUUAUCCAUAAUAGCAGCAUACUUAUAUACUUUUACCUGUAAUAGCAACAUAUUUUUAUUUCCCUACUAAAAUGAGCAAAAUGUACUUUAAUUGGUAAAGAGAUCCAAGUAUGUUGCCAUUUUUAUAAAUUUAACAUCUAGGUGACUACCAAACUUGUUUUGAAACCAUGAAAUAAGUAGCAAAAAUUCAGAAAAGUAUAUGUUACUACUAUAAUAAACAAUCUAAUAGAACAUAAAUACAUUACAAAAAACUAAAACAGUACUGUAGAGGAAUAGGACAUUUCCAUAAAUUUGUUGAUCAACUUCAAAUAUUUUGAAUAUAAAAUGCUAUAAAUGUUAACCAAAAUGAAACAAGUUCAGAUUUUCAAAAUACUUAGAUUUUUAAAACGCAAUGUCUUAAUAGGUAAAUAAUUAAAUGUACAAUGUCUUAAUAGAAAAACAGUAGAAAGUACUAUAAUUGGCAACCGGAAUCAAACAAACUUAAUAUUUUGAAGGCAAAAGGUCUUGUGUUAGACUAUUGAUUGCAUUUACGAUUUAAUAUUAAGUAUUUUUUUAUUAGUACCCUAUUAGACAUCUUAGAUGUAUAUUAAGUAAUCAGCGAAGUAGAAUUUGGUUUCUUACCUUGGCAUAUCAUAUAUGGUCAUUUAUUUUUUUUUUUUUUUUUUUUUUUUUUUUUUUUUUUUUUUUUUUUUUUUUUUUUUUUUCUAGAUUUCUAUAUGCUCUUCUUGACUGCUCCAGUUAUCCUAUCAAAUAACCACAAAUUAGUAAUUGAAAUACAUAUUUUAAGAUUUGUUAGACAGCUUACAAUCUUCAGAAAUUCAUAUAACAUGGGGAAGAAUCUAUGUGUUGAUAAAUGUCGCAGAUUAGAUUAGAUGACCCUAAUAAUAAUCCGUGAUGACAAUGUUUGUUGUUAACCAAAACUACACUAAGAUUAAAAUCAAGUAAAAAUGAUAAUAGAACAUCAAUACAUGAUUUAACUUGAUAAACAAACCAACAAACUACAUUAUGUUAAACAGAACACAUUCAGACCAUGACUAAUCCAAGAUUUUGACCACAGUUAUUUUAUUAGUAAAAUGCAAAUCAAUGAAACAGAAACAAGAAAAAAAAAUUAAGUGCUGGAGUCUUCCAUGAUCACAUACCACAAAAAGAGAUUUGACUAGAACAUUGUGAUCUGACAGAAUCUGAAAUACAUUCUUAAACGAUAUAAUUUCUUGUCUUGUCAUUUUCUUUCUCCAAGGAUUGAUAUAAUUUCUUUGGAUUAUAGAGAUGUUUGGAGAGCGUGAUGGAUUUAUAUAAAAACUCAUUUACAGAGCAUACCUUUAAAUCUAAUUGCAAUUUCCUUCACCAUUGUAUCUUUCAAGAAGUACUUUAAACAUUAAUUUAUUACAUCUUACCUAUCAAUAAAUAAUCUUUAAUCGGCCUUCUACUUGUCUCCUGAAAAAAUCUUAUAAAUGUUAGUCAUAAAAAUCAACUCCAGGUUAAUUUAUUUUAAUGCAUGCCACAGGAAGAAGAGAAGAGAAAGGAAGGAUUAUUAUUGUUUUUCAAAGUACGAUGUCUAAAUAAGAAAAAGUUGUACGUACAAGACUGUAAUAUAAAGGAAUAAAACUAGGAUGCUAUAAAUAGCCUGAAGGUGAAAUCCAUAAAGGAAGCAUGUGUUUCAUUUCUGCCAAUAUCUUAAGUUGCUAUGUAUUGCAUGUAAUUAUGAAAUUCAAAUACAUAUCAUAAUAAACUUGAUAACUAAGGAAUGAAAAAACCUCUCUGAUGAUCCAUCGUGGACCAAAAGAAAAAAAAAGAUCCACAAACAUGUUGAUACCUAGGAUCCAUGUCAGUUGAAGAAGAAACAAAAAGGCUUGCACAUUCAUUAUAAUCAAAGACUUACAUGUAACUAACUUAAAUGGGAGAAUGAGAAACAAUGCACUUUACAUGUAACUAACAGGAUGAUCAAAGGCUUCAUGGUCUGAAAAGGAUACACAUACACAUAUGCUGCAUACAAGUUCAACUUCUUUAUUGAAAAACUGGAACCUUGUUUGUACAAAAUCAGGUUGACAACCUGCAGGGGAAACUAAUUAAAUAAUGUUAAAAGGAUAAAAUUUUAAAUCUUACAACUAUGUGUAACUUUUAUGCAGUAUAAGUGCAAAGGUAGGUGAAAAGCUCCUUUGUCACCUACUUAAUUGAAAAAAAAAAACAUUUCUCAGAAAAACCUACUAACAUUAAAUGGCUAAAUUGGCUAGUAAACAAGUUACUUAAUUGGAAAGCAUUGUAACAUGUGAUGAAUGUUGUGAGCAUCUAAACAGAUAAAUUUAUACCUUAGCAUUUUGCUGUCAAAAAUCUGAUGCAUACAACAUUCACAAUUUGAACUUCUAUAGCCUGUAGGGGCAAAGUCAUGUAUAAUUAGUUUCUUGUCUAACAAAAUUUGCAACUAUUAAAUGUUAAAAAAAGGUACAUGAAUGCCAUGAUCAAACUUUCAUAUAUAAGAAGCCAAAACAUUUUCAAUAUGACCAAAAAUCAAAAAAUCAAAAUCCAAAAUUUACAAAACAUGGAAGAAUCUGAACAAAACCUUAGAAACAGGGCAAAGCUUAAGAGAAAUGACCAUAACCAAAGCCACUUGUCCAUUUUUUUUUGCAUGAUAAAUGAAAAGGUUGCUAUUACAACAAUACUGUAAUAAAAAGAAAUGAAACUAGGGUGAUAUAAGACACAAAUAAAUGAAAGUAAGUUCCAUGACAUCAGGAGACAAGGGUGAUGCACCUGAAACCAUAAAAGCAAGUUGGUCUUUUAUUUUGUUAAAUACUAAUCUGUCCCACAUAGCAUAGGAGAUGCACUCUUGCCUGAAAGAUAUAAUAUAUUCUUUAAAGUAUGGAAAGCUAAAAGGCUCCCUUGUGAUGAUUUUUUUUUAUAAAUAGUUACCUUUAAGUAAUGCUUGCCUCCUCGCAUUAAAUGCAAUCUUUCUCUAUGACCACCAGAUGACAUCACUGCAUUCAUAACACUGAAAUAACCACACACCUAACUGAGCAUCAAUAAGCCAUACCAAAUUGAAAAAUACAAUAAAUUUAUCAUACCCAUCAUAUCAUAUACUCUGUUACAUAACCGUGGAACACUUCAGAGCAUAAGAGGUCUCAAUUUCACCAUCAUCUCAUCCAUCAAUUUUAAGUUGUUCUACAUGAAUGAAAAUACAUUGCCCAUUAAGUCAAAAAGAAACAACAGUUUUAUCAUGAUGUGAUUAAGUACAAUAAGGAAAUCAUUAUCAUGAACUUAAUUCAGACAGAACAUGAAAUUUGAGUUUCUUAAAUACUAAUAGUAAAACAAAAUUAUCUAUUAAAAUAUUAAUAUAUGAUCAAGUAACAAAAAUUGCCACCAGAAAAAACAAGAUGAAAUCCAAACUUUUUUAAGAUGAUUGGUUUGAUUGAAAGAAAAUGUAACAAUAAGAUGCUUGUUCAAGCAUAUCACAGCUGAAUGCAGAGGUUCCUGCAAAAAAAUGAUUUUCUUUUGUAAAGAAUUACCAGGCAUACGAAAUAAGUGUUGAAGGCAUUUUCCAUGCAAUAUUCAACAUCUCUUUUUUUUAUUGAUUCUACAUGAAGCAUGUUAAUCCCAUCAUUUCCUGAAGAUAAUACACACAAGCAUGAGUUUUAGGAACAUAGGUGAUGGCCAACGACUUUGUAUUUGGAUCAAAAGUUAAACCAAAAUUAAAACCAAAACAAAGUAAAACAGCAGCAACGCUCCUUCUGAGAUACAGUCGUCACCACCCAAAAGGAAUCGCCGGGCAAUCCAACUUGAAAUUCUCGAUACAGAUACACCACGAGAUUCUCAAAUCAGCCUCCAAGAUCACCUCCAAAUCCUGCCAAAAUUAGGAUAGCAAUGGAAAAUAAUCUCUAAACUUUGAGAAUUAAUUUUAAGGAAACCUCCAAAAAUUGCCUUCUUUCCAUUCAUCAUUCCUCCAUACAUACAGGGAAAAAAAGGAAAAACAAAACCCACCACCCACGUAGCUACAUUUAGGGAAAGUAAAUAACUGUUGUAGAGAAGCCAAAAUAAACUAAAAUAAUAAGGAAAAUAAAAUAACAUGGAAAUAAAACAAAGUACUCUUGACUGAUAUGUGGAGGAACACGUGGGGUAAAAUCUACAAUCAUGUGAUGGAAGGUUUUGAUUGAAUUAGGUUGACCCAUGUAUUCACGUGAUCGGGUUCUGGAGUCGGUUUCGGGUCUGUCAUAUUGGGCGGGUCUUUAGGAACUUGCCUAUCAAUAGGGGUAUUUCUGGAAAUACACAAACAGGGUCAUAGACUCAUAUCUUUUGUAAUCAGUGGAUAGAAGGCGGUAAUUUGAUAAAGCAAAGUUCAUAAUUUCGUAACAGAAAAGCAUAAUCACCCAACACCCUUAUUGGAACUAAAACUGUAUCUUUUAACAUUAACAGAAAAGCUAAAUAAGAACAUAAAAAGCAUCAAGUGUUAUAUUGUUUUAAGGGAAAAAACAUACAUGUUAAGAGUUUGAUUCUCAGGGGAUCUUCUUUACCUUUUCUCCACCAUAACCUCUUUAUUUCAAGACUUCCACCAGCAACAUUUGCAAUCAGGUUUCCACGGGAAACUACUACACCCUCCUUACCAUGUAGGAAAAGGAAUAAAGGUUAAGAAAAGAUUCAACUUUAGUAGACUUGAAAAGAAAAAAAAAGCACAAGUGAAUAAGAAAUAGAAACAUCUGGUUUCCACUUGUCUAACAUGUUGCAGCAAAAUCAUCUGGUUUUAAUGCACAAAAAAAGGUGAUGGUUGUUCCUUCACUAAAGCACCAACUCAUAUGCAAAAAAAUCAGCAAUCAAAUGGCAGAAAUCAUGAAGGAUUAACUCAAAUUAAAGAAGCUCAUGUUAUUGGAGAUAGAUGCAUAAGUCUGUUAUAAUGAAUAACAAGACAGAGAAUAUUUUUGAAAUUACAAUAUUCCAAACAAAAAGAAACAAAAGUAGGAUGUUAUAAUAAACAAAUCAACAAAACUAUGUUGCUAUUUCUCACAUUAACCCAAAAAAUAUAUGAUUGAAAUCAAAACACAAUCAACUUUCUUGAGAAAUCUGAUUGUCAUACAUCGAACCAUGAUCAUGGAAGUUUGUUUUCUUAAAAAGCAUGCUACUGAAACAUUAGAUGGAAAAUGGAUUAAAAAUAUUUUACAAAAUGACCAACAAAAAUGGAUGCAAAAGACAUAAAACAUGAGAAUAUAUAACUGGAAUGCAGAAGCAAUUAGACUACCUGUGCAUUAUUAUUAGCCUCUUCUGUUAAUGAAACCAGAUAACAUAACAGGGCUUCUCUCCAAUGUCUUGAGCUGCACAUACCAUAACCUUUUUAUUUUUCAAAGAGACUAUUAAACAAUGAAAAGAGAGCACUUACAUUUGUUAAAUAAUUCUUUAGCUGGAUUUUGUGCUUAAUUCCAUCCAACAUAUAUGCAACAAAAUUAUUGCAUUGGCUUUGAUUGAUGACUAGAAGCCACAAUUUCCAUCAUACCACCUAUGUCAGAAUCAUUGAUAUUCGAUAAUGAAGUUUAUCCAUUAAUAGUAAAACAAAAUUAUCUAUAGAAGUAUUAAUAUAUGAUCCAGUAACAAAAAUUGCCACCACAAAGAAUGAGAUGAAAUCCAUACUUUCUUAGCAUAAUUGGUUUGGCAGAAAUAAAAGGUAAUAAUAAGAUGCUUGUUCAAGAAUAUCACACAGCUGAAUGACGAGGUUCCUGCAAAAAAAAAAAUUGAAGUUUUUUAGCAAUAUUCUCAUGUAUAAUAUUUUUAUUCACAAAAGAGAAUUGAUUAUUAGCUCAUCAGAGAUAUGAAAAUAGUACACACCAUCACCCUCUUUAUAUUGAACACUUGUCACCAUGUGGCAUUCUCUUCCCUGAUGUCCCAAUUCGAUAAAUAUAAGCACACCUUUUUAAAUAGAUAAAAGAACUGACUAAAUAACAAAUAUCUUGUGUAAAAAAACUACCAGGAAAACUAAAAAAGCGUUGAAGGCGUUUUCCAUAAAUUUAUACUCUGUUACAUAAUCCUGGAACACUGGCAUAAUACAAUAGGUCUCAGUUAUGCCAUGUCAUCCAACAAAUUCAAUACAGUGUAAAGUUUUAAUUUGUUCCCCAUUAAUUCAAAUAGAAACAACAGUUUUGCCAUGAUGUGAUCAAGUACAAUAAAGUUAUCAUUAUCAUGAACAUAAAGUUUGAGUUUCUUACUCCAACUGAGCCACCAUAGUUUGCCAAUAUGAUCUGGUUGGACUUUUCAUAAUUUGUUGGUGUGCCAAAGGAAGAUAAGAUUUAUGUAACUGAAAUAAAGCAUGGGGAACAAAUUAAUGGUGACACAAUUGGCAUUUACUUACACAUCUGAUGGAUGGAACUUAAUUAAUGUGAAUGUGACUCAACAAAAGGUUUUGAAGUUACCUGAGCAAUAAGUUUAGAAAAUCAUACACUUAACCUUUAACCCCACCCAGUUGUUGAUGGAAGAGAUGGGAUCAAGCUCAUCUAUCCUUUCAACCACCUAUAAUAUUAUAUUAUCAUUCAAUAUGAGAAUUUGAAGGUUGUAGCAUCAUUUCAGUAAAGAAUCUUAUUAGUGCAAUUCAUAAGAUAUGAAACAAAUGAUUNAUAUAUAUAUAUUAUAUUAUCAGUCAAUAUGAGUUCUUGAAGGUUGUAGCUUCAUUUCAAUAAAGAAUCUUAAAGAAAUGAACCAAAUGAUUAACUAUCAAAACAACAGAAGUUAUCAAUUAAGUGACUUCAUAACAAAUCAAGAACAAAUGAAGAACAGGAAAGAUAUAGCAAUUCGAGAUGCUAUGGUCUCACAAAAGAAGAAGAAACUUCUAAAAUAUUCUGCCUGCCUUUCUAACAAAGGCCCUCCCAUAUUAUAUAACCUAAAAUGACAGAGGAUCUGCCUUAAUUCCCAAAAUGCCCCUGCUGUCCUGCUAACUUUGUAGUUCCCUCGUGGUUGUCUGUGGUCCCCUCUCCCAUUGGAAUCUUUUGUCUCUGAUAGGUGAAUUGCAAGGGUGGAUGCACAAUAGUUAUCAAUGACAAAAAGAUCAGCAACUGAAAUGUCAAAGUGAUUGAUUAGCAACUAAUAAAAAAUUUAACCUUUUGCAAAUGGCAAUGUCUGUGUGGCACACAAAAUAUGGCUUCUACAGAAAGAGCAUUUCUGUAUGCAAGAAUGGCAUGUUUUAUCCUAUACAAAAAGACACAACUUUUCAGAAGAAUAUAGACCACAAAAACUUAGAGAGCAGAGUAAAAUAUACAUUCGGUCCCUGAUUGUAUACCUAAUUUAUCAAUUUGGGUCCUUAUUUGAGGUUCUUGUAACAUUUCUGGUCCCUGUUCCAAGUAAUUUGGCUAUUUUUUUUUUUUUGCAGAUUUGUUCCCAAAAUUAUUGUCAUUUUACUAGAAACAAAGAUCAAAAAAGUUAUAAACCUCAAAAAAGAACCAAAAUUAAAAAAAAAAAAAUCAGCUACAUUCAGCGACCAAAAUUUAAAAAAUACUUAAAAAAAAGAUAGAUAAAUCAUUUAUAUACUGUAUUUAAUUAUUGUUACAAAAUCAUUGAUAUUCAAUAAUGAAAAUUAUCUAUUAAAAUAUUAAUAUAGGAUCAAGUAACAAAAAUUGCCACCAAAAAAACGAGAUGAAAUCCAAACUUUUUUAAGAUGAUUGGUUUGGUUGAAAGAAAAUGUAACAAUAAGAUGCUUGUUUAACAAUAUUCUCAUAUAUAAUAUUUUUAAUCACAAAAGAGAAUUGAUUAUUACCUCAUCAGUUAUACAACGGUAAAAACUGACAUCUUCUUUAUACUGACCACUUGUUAUUAAUAUUUCAACCCACAAAAGACCACACGAUGUGGCAUUUCUCUUCCCUGAUAUCCUAAUUUGCCAAAUAAAAGCACAUUUUUAAAAAAAUAAAAAAUAAAAGAAUCAACCAAAUAACAAGAAUCUUUUGUAACAAAUUACUAGGCGUACUCUGUUACAUUAUCCUGGAACGCUAUAGAAUAUAUAGUAGGUCUCAGUUAUGCCAUGUCAUCCAACAACUUCAAGUUAUCCUACACGAAUGAAAAUACAGUAAUCAAGUAAUAAAGAAACAUCAGUUUUGCCAUUAUGUGAUUAAGUACAAUAAAAAAAAUCAUUAUCAUGAACUUAAUUCGGAAAAAACAUAACAUUUUUGUUUCUUACUCUUUGAUAAAAUCCAGCUGAGCCACCAACCAUAGUAUGCCAAUAUGAUCCGGUUGGACCUUUCAUAAAUGUGUGCCAAAGGAAGAUAAGAUACAUAUAACUGAAAUAAGCAUGGGCAAUAAAUAUUACAACAAAAUAAUGUUGAAACAAUUGGCAAAUACUUAAUUUCAGGACUUCCACUAGAAAAAAACCAUUUACAAUCGGGCUUCCAUGGGAAACUAUAGUCCCCUUCAUUAGGUAAAAAAUAAUUAAAAUUAUAACGCUAUAACUUAAAAUAUAAUGCUAUGAUUGAUUAAAGUUUCAAAAAGCAAAGCAAUUUCACCGCUUCAUUAGGUAAAAAAUUUAGAGUAUAAUGUCAUAAUAAGCAAAAAAAAUGGAAGUACGAUGCUAUAAAUGGGUGGAUUAUUAAAAGUAUCAUUUCACAAUAAGAAAACACUUGGAAGUACAAUGGUAUGUAUAAUGGGGUAGAACUUUCAAAGCAAUAAGAAAAAAAAAAUGAAAGUACAAGGCUAUAAUUAGGUAGACAUCUAAAUGUAUAUAUAAUGUCCUAUUAAAGAAAAAAAUUCUAUUUUAGUAGACUUGAACAGAAAAGAAAAAAAAAAGCACAAGUGAAUUAAGAGAUAGAAACCUUUAUCCUAUCAAAUAACCACAAAUUAGCUAUAACAAUGUACUUUCUUACCUUUGCAUCAUACAUGGUCAUUUAGUUUUUUUUUUAUUUCUAGAUUUCUAUAUGCUCUUCUUGACUGCUCCAGUUAUCCUAUCAAAUAACCACAAAUUAGUAUAUGAAAUACAUAAAUUAAGAUUCGCUUACAUUCUUCAGAAAUUCAUAUAACAUGGGGAAGAAUCUAUGUGUUGAUAAGUGUCGCAGAUUAGAUUAGAUGACCCUAAUAAUAACCCAUGAUGACAAUGUUUUUGUUGUUAGCCAAAGCUACAAUUAGAUUAGAAUCGAGUAAAAAUGUUAAUAGACAAUCAUUACAUGAUUUAACUUCAUAAACAAACCAACAAAAAACAACAAUGUGUUAAACCUAACACAAUUAGUAAAACGCAAAUCAAUGAAAGAGAAACAAGAAAGAGCAUUAUUAGGUGCUGGAUUCUUUCAUGAUCACAUACCCACAGAAAGAGAUUUGACCAGAGCAUCAUGAUAUUCAUAAAAAGGCUGACAGAAUCAAACUUGCAAUUUUGUCUCUAAAUCUAGUUGCAAUUUCCUUCACCAUUGUAUUUGUAUCUUUCAAGUUUUACUUUAAAGAUUAGUUUAUUAUAUCUUACCCAUGAAUAUAAUCUUUAAGCCGCCUCCAUGUAUGAAGCCAAACCAUGCAUCCUUCUUCUUCAUCAAUUACACAAAAUCUUAGAAAUGUUAAUUAUAAAAUUGCAAUUUUGAAUUUGUGUCCCAUUGACAUCAGUCUAAUGCAUGCCAAAAGCAGAAGAGAAGAGACUAAGGAUUAUUAUAUUUAUACAUAACAUACGUUUGCACUUCAUCUUUGUAGUAGCCUUGGAACACACACAAAUUACACCAACAGGAUAUGAUGGUUGAUCAUCGGACGUAUAUUUCAUCUCAGGAACAUCCACAUCUGAAACAGGAACAUCAUUCAUUAAUAUUGGUUUAAAUGCAAGAAAUACUAAAGUAGUUUCAUUUUUCCUAUUAUAGAAUUGUGCUUGAAAAAAUCUACCCAGUUAUAGCAAUGUCAUAGAGUAAGUUAAUCCCAUCAUUUCUUAGAGAUAAUACACAAGCAUGACUGCAUGAGUUUUAGGAACAUAGGGGUAUUUCUGGAAAUACACAAACAGGGUCAUAGACUCAUAUCUUUUGUAAUCAGUGGAUAGAAGACAGUAAUUUGAUAAAGCAAGUUCUCAUAAUCUCGUAACAGAAAGGCAUAACCACCCAACACCCUUACUUGAGAUUCAAUGCAAAGCUAAAUAAGAACAUAAAAAGCAACAAGUGUUUUAUAGUUUUAAGGGUAAAAACAUACAUGUUCACACUUUGAUUCUCAGGGGAUCUUCUUUACCUUUUCUCCACCAUAACAUAAGCUCUUUAUUUGGUUUCUAAAACCUUUUCUUGUUGCAGAGUAAUGAAUGGAAUUUGUCAAACAAGUUGAAAUUAAGAAUAACAAUCAGUCUCGGAGUAAUGUAGGGAAGUGGUUCACAAAAUACUUUUGAAAUGAAUGGAAUUUGUCAAAUGAAUUGGUAUUUGUCAUGUGUAUGAUUGACAGGAAAUGGAAAGGAUUUCUGUUAAUGAGAAUAACUGGAAUGCAGAUGCAAUUACGCUACCUGUGCAUUAUUAUUAGCCUCUUCUGUUAAUGAAACCAGAUAACAUAACAGGGCUUGUCUCCAAUGUCUUGAGCUGCACAUACCAUAACCUUUUUAUUUUUCAAAGAUAUUAUUAAACAAUGAAAAGAGAGCACUUACAAUAUUCUCAUAUAUAAUGAUUUUAUUCACCAAAGAGACUUGAUUAUCACCCCAUCAAAUAUAUAAAAGUAAACAUCAGCAUCAUUAAGAAGAAGAAGCAGGGGUAAAUGAUUCAUGUUAAAAAGAUCCACAAACUUGUUGAUACCUAGGAUCCAUGUCAGUUGAAGAAACAACAAAAAAGCCUGCACAUUCAUUUGGAUAUUAAACAAGUUACUUAAUAGGAAAGGAAAACAUUAUAACAUGUGAUGAAUGUUGUGAACAUCUAUAAACAGAUUUGGUUGUGGAAGUGGAACAUCUCAUGUAUUUUAAUUUAAUUGGAAAGGAAACAUAACUUUAUUAAACAGAAACACACAACUUUAUAUGAAACUUUUAGUUAGAACCAAAGUACACUUAUAUUUCUAAUAGAGUUACAAACACAAACAAUAAAUUAUCUUUUCCCUAAUUGAAUUUCUAAUAACUCAAUAAGUUGUCUAAUAUUUUAAUUUGGUUUGUGAUUAUUUACUUCUCUCUACAUAAUUUAAUCCAGCAACAUUUUUACCCUCAAAACAAAGCAAAACAACUCUUUAGGUUAAUUAAGACAUUUCAUCAAACACUUAAACUGCACAGAUAAACAAUACUUUUUUGAGUUUCAAAACUAUUUAAAUUUUACCGACAUCACCACUUGCUUGAGCAAAUCAUCUUCGUUUGAUGGAUGCUUUGGUUUCAAUUUGGCGACCUGAUUCAAAAAACCAUCGAAUCAAAAGAUAAAUGGAGAAAGAGAAAAAACCCAGAGAGGUCGUAGUGUUAAAUAAAGGCUGCAAUUAAGUAAAAUUAUGUCAUUAAUAUACCUUUUGUAUAGUGUUUGAUCCUUUUAGCGAUGAUGAAACAUGCUUAGAAGAAAAAAAUUAGUUUCAUGACGUAAAAAGUUGCCAUACACUUAGCCUAAAACACGUAUUGAAAAGAUACAAGUAAACACAAUACCUAGAAAUCAGCGGAAAAAGAUCCUUUUGUAUAGUGUUUGAUCUUUUUCUUGAUCGAUGAUGAUGGUAAACCAAACUGACCGAUGAAUCCAGUAAUGACAUGAAGAAUCUUCUUGGCCUAUUGAAAAUACCUAACAAAAACAAAAUCAAAAUCAAUAAUACACACAAAAAAAAAUCAAGAACUUUAACUAACAGACGAAGAGGGAAACACAGAGGAUUGUUGAACGCCGGAUAAUGAAAGAGAGAGAAAACGGUGGUGUCGCUAGAAGAAAAAGAGAAGAAGGUGGUGCCUACAAAUAAAACCCUCUUCUUCUUCUUUUCUUCUUCACUGAAACAUGUCUCUGGUUGUGUUUGGAGAGCAGCGGGAUGACUAUGAGUGACUGAAGAAGGUAUAAAUUAGGCGCCAAUACACACCGACCCAACCCUUUGGACUUCCUAAUUCCAACGGUUCUUUUAUAAAUCAUUUCCAAAAUUAAAACCUUUCCAAAAUUUGAAUGAGUAACAAAGAAAACCUUUCCACUUAUCUAUCUUAACCACGUAAUCCCUAACUUUUCAUUUUUACCAUUUUUAACCUAUAAAUUUAUCUUUUAUUGCAAAAUUGAUACCUUCUUCUUCCUGUUUUUAUUUUGACCUAGUUUUUUUUAUAAGUUUUAUUUCUAAUUUGUCCAAACUUCUUUUAGAAACUUUUACAAAUAUUUUUUAUAACUUUCUUUUUAAAUAUUUCUUAAAACUUAGUUUUUUUUUAUUAAUUUUGUUAUAAGUAUGAAAUCAUAUUUAUAAAAUUAGUUAUUUUAUUAAAACAAUUACUUAUGUUGUGUUGUAUGUUUUUUAAAUUCUUUUAUUAUUACAAAUUAAAAUUUUUAAUUUAUUUUUUGUAUUUAUAAAGGCUAUUUUUUACAACUUUUUUUUUUACUAUCUUUGUUUUUUUUUUAUCAAAUCGUUUUAUAAAAUUAGUUUUCUUUUAAAAAUAAUUUUUACAAAGAUUUAGAUUUUUCUUUUCAUGCAUUUAUUUUAAGAUUUUCCCUAUAUUUAAAAGGGGUAUCUUAAAUGUACCCCUGUGUGUGUGAGUGUAAUGUAUGUGUGUUGACCUUCACAUACACAUAUGUUUCAUCAUGUGGGGAUUUUUUAGCAACACCUAUAACAUGUAAAAGUUAUGUUCUUUUUAAUAUAUUUAUUUAAAAACAAUAAAAAAAAUACACCUUAAAGAGUGCACUUUUAUGCUAUAACUAAAUGUAACCCUAAACCCUAGAGAGUAAAUUAUGUCUUGUUUUUUGUACAUGUUAUAUUCUCCGCUACAUAUAUUCCGCUCCAUGUAUUUUCCUUUGUUUUACAAUUUUUGACUAAUUUCUUUUUCAAAAUUGGUCCAGAGUUUUUUUACAAAUUUUCCCUAACUUUUUUCUUUCAAUUAAUAACAUUUAUACAAAAGAAUUUAGCAUUUGAGAAAAGUUUGGACAUGUUUGAUAUUAAUGCACAAGUAUAGUAAUGCUAGUUACACUUAUUAUUAUACAAGCAACAUAUUAAAUCAUUUUUUUAUUCUUUUUUUUUUAGAACAGCUGAAUUUUAUUAAACUAACAAGAAGUUAUAACAAACAAUUACAUGAUAGUAUAAGAAGAAUUAUGAAGCCAAGUAGACCAAGUGAACUUAGCUUUGUUACAUCUAUUUGAAAUCUAAAAGAACGCCUUAUCAACAACAUCAUCAAAAAGCAAUGCCUUUUAGGGAUAACCAUUCCAAAAAUGGUAGCAUUUCUAAAAUUCCAAAUGCCUCAAACGUUGUCAUAACAACUGCAUCAAAAAGCUUAUGUUGACCUGCCCUCAAUGUGACUGCAUCAGAACAGAGAUAAGAGAGUGUACAGAAAUCUGAUAAGGAAGAUGUAAACCCCACCAAAUAGCAAUGUGUCUCCAUAUAUCCUGUUAAUACAUGAAAAGUGCCUCUUAGUCAAUCCAGCCUUUUGAGUAUUUCCGAAGUAGUCUAGACUUUAAGAUGAAUGUAUUUCUAACGUGUAUAGAUUUCCAAGAACUUGUUACUUUGGAAUCUGAUCAAUGUUGUAAUGCUCUAAAUUUUCAAAUAAAAAUUUCAUUUUUAAAACCACACAAAACAUAGUUUCAUAUUUCUCUAACCCAAGUUUAUAAGUUGUUCGAAACACAAGACAAUAUAAAUGUUUGACAAUAUCCCAGAAUCCUCAAAACAUAAUCUCUAGCUGGUGUGUACAAUCAUUUCGGCGCCUUCCCGCGAUCCUGAGAUGUACCUAAAACACAUUUCACACAACACUGUAAGCACAAAGCUUAGUGAGUUCCCCAAAAUACCACGCAUAAAUAAUUAGCCUCUCAUGGCUAUAUCUCAAUAAAGGACCCUCCGGUCAUGUGUCUCAGUGAAGACCUCCGGUCUCACAGCUCGGGUCGGACCCUCCAGUUCGGUAUCUCAGUGAAGACCCUUUAGUCUCACAACUCGGUUUAGACCCUCCGGUCCUAACUCAAUAAGACACAUAAAUAAUAUACAACAUAAAUCACAAAGACAAAAGGCAUGAUAUCACAUAACUCAGUAUAAGCACAUAAGACCCUCUGACCAAUAACUCAAAUAAGACCCUCCGGUCACAUAAUAUUACCACUCAGGUAAGUAUAGUGAGAAGACUCACCUCGUAAGUAAGCAAAUAUGUCUCGUACUUAAUGGUAGGUCUAGACUCUGUCUACAUAUAGCAUAAUCAUUUCUAAUUAACAAUUUAUAAUAACAACUCCAAAGAUGUUCGAUUGUUCAUUUACUAACUCUCGGAAAGGGUGAAAGACCAUUUUACCCCCUCCAUGGUCUCCUAAGUCUAUAACUUGACCAAACCCUAAAAGUCAACGAAAGUCAACCCUCAAGUCAACAGUCCAUGUUGAUUAGGUGCAAUUUGUGCACCUCUUAGUCACAUUUCAUUCAUCUAUUUAGCAUAAUUGUUCUUUCCUUUUUCUUGCAUUUCAUCAUAUUCAUGUUAGUCUCUAGAACAACCUUAUUUGCACACUUUUAUGUCUUUUUCAGGUAAACCGGAGGUUGGAACGCGCUUUGGGAAGUGUCGGGAAGCAUUGGUGAAGAUUUCGGGAUGAUCGGGCGAAGAACGAAAAAGUUGGAAAAAUCAAGUUUGGAAUUGGAGUCAGAGAGGUACACGGGGCGUGUUGAAUUUACACUGAAAAGUGGGCACGGGGCGUGUUUGACCAAAAUGGGAGCUGUUGACCAUGCUGAACACGGGGCGUGUCAGUUUAGUGCAAAUCAACACGGGGCGUGUUGCUGAACACGACCCGUGUCAGUUUAGCCUAUUUUAACACGGGCCGUGUUCGACCCAAAAACCAACUUUUGGCAGUUUUUCCUAUCUUUCAUAUUACGGGUUAAGAGUCAUUUUUACACACACACAACAUAUCAGAGCACCAUUGGAGAGGAGAAUUCGAAGGUUUUUGCAAGGGUUUUUCCGUCAAUCAUUUGGAAACAUUAAUUCUUGUUUUUGUAAGUUGUAAUUACACUUAAUUCCAUCUUUUAUACUUGUGAUCUUGUUCUAGCCAUGUGUGGCUAGAACCCUAGUUUCUCCAAUUUCAUGUUUUGACUUCUUGGUAGUGACUUCAAUCAUAUGACAUGAUGUUUGUUCUUAAUUUCUAUCUAAUGAAUUUGAUUUUGCUUCAAUCGAAUGUUUGAUUCUAAUUGUGAUUCUUAUUGGCCAUUUGAAUUAGGGUUAGGUCAUUCAAGUUAUCUCUUUUACAAAAUCUGUAAUUGUUUUGUGAAAUUGAACAAGUAACAAGCAUUAAAUUGAUCUCUAUUGAAUGAAUUUAGUGUAAAUCUUAUUCAUACACUUUUACACUCCCGAGCUUAUGAGGAGUAUUGGGUGUUGUUGGGAACAUACACAUAAAGCUUCAUGCAAUCUUAUAAUCUAAUUCUAAGAGCUUGUUUAGAUUAGGUUAAUAAGAUUAGGGUUAAUCAAAGAGCUUGUUUUGGUUAAUUAAUGUGGUGAAUGGGAAGUGUUAGAGCUUAUUAGCACUUUCAUGUACCAACUUAGAUAGAACUGAACGAAUAUUGUGUCAUCUUUGAGUCACACUGCUAAGUAGUUGUCAUACAUCAAGUUGGAGUCCUUACAAAAUCUGAAUUUAGUUCACUCAUUUAGCUGAUUGCGUGUGUUUUUAAUUUGUUUGUUUAGUCAUUGCACUCUACCCCCCCCCCUCCCUUUUUUACUGUUGGUGACCAUAGUACCUUGCACAAAGAGGUAUAGACUAAUUAUCCCGUGUCUCUGUGGAUCGACCCUACUUGCCUUGUACUACCUUUUAGUGUAAUAUAAUAGUGUUAUCUUGGAGUAUAUCGUACCCCUUUAUUUGUUGGGUCUGACACGCCUAACAUUGACCCAACUCGUCGAUUGUAUCUAUGCGACUCAUCGAGUUCCUUUGUUCUCUGAAAAAUCGGGAAAAUCCAACUCAACUCGCCGAGUUGUCUCAUCAAUUCGUCGAGUUUGCACACCGUCCACGAUAACGGGGGAAACCCUAACCAACUCGUCGAGUUGGCUAACCAACUCGUCGAGUUCCUUCAGGUCAAUGACUCAUUCAGACGCUUUUUAGUGAGAGUAAAGCCCCAAACUCUAGAUCUAGCCUCCUAAGGCUGAAAUACCACGUAAAGCUGCAAGCUUUACGUCCAUGCAUGGCAUCUAGGGCUAAGUUUGCCAAAACAAAGCUCAACAAACAGUUUAAGGCAUGGAAGUUGGCCAUAGCUUGAUAAAGCUUGAAUCUUUAGGCCUAAGGGACCUAGUAUUGUCCAUAUCUGAAGUCUUAGCUUCAAGGUAAGCUCAAAACCAAUAAGGACCCAAGGGAAAUGUUAAAAAUGGCCAUAACUCUCUAAUGGAGAGAUCUAACAAUCAAGUGAUCAAGUUAAUCGCUUUUUACCUCCAAAUGGCCUCUAACACUGAAAGAAUGUCGAAUCCAAGGACUCCUUCUCGUUCCAAGCCUUGUGUUCCUCAAGCUCCUUCAAAGAAUGCACCAAAACACACACUCUUAGCCUCUCUCUCUUAUAUGAUAAUAGCUCGAUUAAGGUUUCUCUCAGGGUGUUAAGGUGAUGAGGGAGGCGGGGUAAAGGACUUAAGGUCCUUUAAAUAAGGUGCAAACCCUGAAAAUUAGGGUUUUCACACUCAGCUCCUACUCGUCGAGUUGGGUCCUCCAACUCGUUGAGUUGACUCUAAAAACCACACAGCUAUCUCAAUCUCUACUCGACAAGUUGGGGACUCCAACUCAUCGAGUUUCCCUGCCAAAAUGAAUAUAAAACAAUUUAAAUUUGUACCUGGGAGUCGGGAUGUUACAAAUGUAUUCUGACAGAACUGAAAGUACCAGUUUGUUGUUUAAUGGUAGUAACGUAGUGUCGUACAUCCGACAAGAUCAACAGAAACGGUUGUGUCAGGUUGUUGAUCUUCAGUCCAUGUACACUUUCCAGAUAUUUGUCUUUUGCAACUCCUUUGCCUAUAAAAAGAGUGUCAACCUUUGUAAUAGAAAUAACUUUAAGGAACAACUUCACUUCUAUUAAAUCAAAGAAAUAUACUGUCAAUCAUUUCUCUCAAACAUUCUUCUUGUUCUUAUUUACUUUACAUUGUUUAUACUUUAUAUUAAUUAUCUUGAGCACUUUGUUGAGUUAUGUAUUUCAAGGCUUGACUGGUUUAUCUAGAUUUGAGUGGAUCUUUUAUUAUAAGCAAUCAUUGACGUUAGAUUAAUUCAAGGUUUGAGUUUUCAAACCUUGUCCAUGCAAAUAUUUAAACCUAUAAUUGGUAUCAGAGCCUAAGUGAUUGUCCUUUGAAUCCAUAAGAACAUAUUAUAGUUGGUUGAAGAUCACCUUUCUAUCUCAAUCAUUAUGUGUUCAGGAUAAAAGUUCUUUAUAUACCACUUCAGCUCUAAUAUUUAAACAUCAAUGGCUGCUUCUAAUCAAUCUCAACAAAUAUAUUCAAUGCAAACCGCAAAUAGCAUGGGUUGCCCAUCGCAUUUACCAUUGCUAGUUGUCAAAGAGUAUGAUCACUGGAAAGUCAGAAUGGAGAUAUUUUUGGUUGGCAAAGAAAAAGGUGAAGAGAUAUAGAGGUCGGUGAAAGAAGGUCCUCAUGUUCCUGUUAGGAAAAUGGUCAUAGAUGUUGUUGCUACUCUUAUGGGCCAAGAAGAGCUCUGGCCAACACCUCUAAUCGCAAAAGAUGUCGAGAAACUCCUUGCAUACCAAAUUGCUUUUUCCAAAAUGGUGUUUGGUGUUCCACCAUCUCUCCUUAAGCACCUUAACUUGUGUAAAUCCACCAAAUAUAUUUGGGAUACACUUCAAGACUUGUUUGAAGGAUCAGAAAAUAUGAAAGAGAAGCAUCUGACGCCUGUAGUAAACGACUUCGACACCUUCACUACCAUACAUGGUGAAUCCGUUGCCUCUACAUCAAAUAGGUACAUAAUCGUUGUGAAUAACAUGACUGCACAUGGUGUUGUUUGCACUCUGCUUGAGUACAAUCUGAAGUUUAUCAAUAGUCUCGGAAAAGGAUGGGGAAAUGUUAAAUAUUGUCUUUAGAGUAAUGGAUCUCUGAAGAAACUGAAGCUCUACCAACUGUUUGAUGAACUGCAAGGCCACAAAUAAUGUUGUUCAAACAAUGAGAGAACUCUCUGGAGGUCCUCCCGCUCUAGUCGGUUUGGUUAAUCCACUUAUUCAGAACCUAUUCGUCUCGGAUCCCUUCAGAGCUAUUGUGACAUCCUUAAUUUCAAGACUAUGAAAUACUGAUUUAUUUAUGCUUAUAUAAAAUCAGAGUAUCCUUUUUGAAAAAUAAUAUUGUGGAAUUUGUUCCCAAAAACAUGAUAAUGAUAUUAUCAAAACAUUUCCAAAGAAAUGUAUUUAUAUUAAAAAUGUUGGGAUGUCAUCAUGAAUACAAUACAUAAGCAUAAAUGGAAACAAUACAUGUCUUACAAACAUUUGUAAGGUCUAUAAUCUAUAAAUCUAUCAUCAAUCAUAACACCUGUGCUCUCGUGCCACUACCUGUGAUACAAGAAACUGAGUGGGUCUGGCUUGAUAGAUUGGUGAACACAUAGGAUUUUUAAUCCACAAAAUUAUAUUCUUUUAAUUAUAUAUUUUCAUCAAAGCAUUCAGCUUGAUUACCUAUUCCUGUUAUCCUCACUUUCUGUCCCUAAAACAUCUAAUUUUGGGUACCUAUUCUAAGGAUUAUAUUCGGAUAGACAAUAAUGUUGCGGGGGAUUCCUUAGCACUAUAUGUCAAUAAGGCGACCAUGGGGGGUGGAGUACACCUGGUGAACACUAAGUUCAAAAACACAUACAGGUUGCGAGCCUACUAGCGUUCCACUGGACUGUCUAGAAUAGACGGUGGUCGUCAUCUAUACUCCAUUAAACGCCUAGAUCAUCUUUAAAGUCAAGGACUCUCAUCAUCUAUUUCAUCUUUCAUCUCUCAUCAUCUAUAUCUUCUUUUAUCUACCCAUCUCUACCCAAUAUAUUUAUAGGUAUAAAAUACAUAUACAAUUUAAAUCAAGUAAAAAAUGUAUAAAUUGUUCAUCUAGCAUUGAUAUAGAUAAUAGGCACAUAUAGCAUGUAAUUAUCUUAAAUACUUUAUAUCUAUGUGUAAGAUGAAAGUAACUAUGCAUUCACUUAUUUAAAGUGGAUGACUAGAAAGCUGAACAACGCUUCACUUCAGCACUUGGCUUUUCCUUUGAUAUGACUUGGGUCUAAUUAUCUCUAAGUCUUAGUUUAUUAUCUCUCAUGACUAAUUAAUAGUCUAUAUUUCUCAAUAAUCCCAAUGUCUACUAAUCUAUACCUGAUAAGAGACAACUAGGUAGGAUCAUAUUGGAGGUAGGGUUUAUUUGGUAUACAAAGUAUAUUGUUUGGAAGUGCCAAUUUAAACACCUCAUUAAAUCCAACCUCGACAUUAUCCUCGUAAGUAGAUCAAUCAGUAAUAUGAAGUUGAAACACUAAGGAUGAGCUAUAGAACCGGAAAACCGGACCGGCACUGGAUUCAGACUAAAACCGAAACCAGUAUAACUGGAAAUAUCUUAGACAACCCGGUUCUCGGUUCUAAAAAUUGGCCUUGUCCGGGUUCCGGGUAUUCCGGGUAUGGGUCCAAUGGUUACGGGUCCAACGGGUUUGAGAACCGCAUUAAAAAAAACAAAACCGAAUUAAAUGCACCAGACCCGGUUUAUUAGGCCCUGAACCAGAAUUUGAACGGGUAAUAAAAAAAGACGUUGUUGUAUUGGGGAUUUCGAUCAUUAAUCCAGGUUGGGUUUGACGUUGAACAAACGAAGGGUUGCUGUGAUCGGCAUCGACUAUUAGGGCUAAUCAAUAUCGUUUUUCUUGUGUGAUUAGUCAGUAUCGUUUUUCAUGUGUGAUCGACGACAAGAGCAAGACUUCUAGAGGGACGUCAAGUAAAGCAUUAGCAUCUUAUUCUUCUCUCUGUGAUAGAAAUUAAAUAAGCAUGCAAAGAAUUGUAAGAAAAACCUAGACAAUUUGAAAAACCAACAAACAUUACAAUUUAAAAAAGAACCAACCAGGGAGGGUAGUGUUAGCACUUGGAAACAUGACGAUAAACGAAUUAAAAAGGUUGUGUUUAAUUUGUUUGUAGUUGGUGGUCUACCUUUUAAGUUUGUAGAAAAUGAGGCCUCUAUUGAAUACACAAACACACUAAACGGGAAGGUGGUUAUACCUAGUCGAACAACAAUUUCAAAAAAUGUGUCACUUUAUUAUCUAGAAGAAAGAAAUAAGUUGGUAACAUUCUUAUGUAAUCCCCUUAACACGGUUCAUUUGACCACCGAUUUUUGGACAAGUACGAGUAAAAGGGUGCAUUAUAUUGUCAUUACCGCACACUUUAUUGAUAAUAAUUGGGAGAUGCACAAACGGAUAAUCAACUCUAAAGAAUUAGAUAGUCAACGGGGGGAAGAUAUCGGAAAAGAAGUGUUGAAAUGUAUUCAAGGGUGGGGUAUUAAGAAUUUCAUGACCUGCAUGUUUGAUAAUGCAAGUUCUAAUGACAAAGCAAUAGAGUUUCUGAAAAACAAAUUACCAAACUUGUACAAUGAAGGAAAACACUUUCACAUUAGGUGUACGGCACACAUUAUCAAUCUAAUUGUGAGAGAUGGGAUGAAUAAAAAUGACGAGAGUGUUAAAUGUUUGCAAGAUGCCGUAAGAUAUAUUAGAAAGUCCACACAACAGAUUGCUCUAUUUAAAAAGUGCAUGAAAGGCGUCGUGGUGGAAUCAACCAAAUUUUUGUGCAACGAUUGUCCCACUCGUUGGAACUCAACCUAUGAAUUAUUGAAGAUCACAAUGGAUUUAGAAAAAGCUUUCUACGAGUAUGAAAUGGAAGGUAAUUUUUUUUAUUUUCUACAUUGUCGCUGAUUUUUUAGCCCUAUUUAAACUGUCAUAUCUGCUUCAUUAGGAGUCUGUUUGGGCUGAUUUUUUUUUAAAUUGUAGUUCACUGGUUGGCAAUAGUAAUAGACUCUUGAAACACCUCAUUUACAUAUGUAUUGAGUCACUUACAACCCUCCAAAAAUGAUAUAUCAAAUCUGUUUUGAAUCUAUCACAACAUUAUUGUUGAAUUUUUAGUUAUCUUUAAACUGUCAUAUCUACUUCGUCAUGAGUCCGUUCGGGUUGAUUUUUUUUUAAAUUGUAGUUCACUGGUUGAUAAUAGUUAUAGACUUACAGUCCUCCAAAAAUGAUAUAUCAAAUCCGUUUUGAAUAUGUCACAACAUUAUUGCUGAAUUUUUAGUUACCCUUAAACUCUCAAAUCUACUAAAUUAUGAGUCCAUUCGGGCUGAUUUUUUUGAAUUGUAGUUCACUGUUUGACAAUAGCUAUAGACUCCGAAAACACCUUAUUUGCAUAUGUUCGGAGUCAUUUAUAGCCCACCAAAAAUGAUAUAUUAAAGCUUUUUUAUAACAUUUUUUUGAUAGAUCGUUCCUUUGCACGAGAUAUGGCUACCCCCGGGAGUGAAGAUUUUGUAACUUAUCGAGCAAUGGUCUCAUUUCUUGAGAAGUUCAGGUUCAAAACAGAAUUGGUGUCAACGAGUUCAAAACCAUUGGCAAAUCGGUUUUUUGGAGAAGUAUGUGUCAUUUACAAGCAUAUACGAGUUUGGUCGAAAAACAAACGAUUUUCUUCAAUUGGGAAUGAUAUGAUAGAUAAAUAUGAGAAGUAUUGGGGAGAUUUUGAAAUUUUGAAUGACUACAUGUACUUUGCGACUAUCUUGGAUCUGCGAAUGAAGACAGAAUUUCUUAGACAUGCUUUUGAAACAUUGAUCAAGUACAAGAUGCCGGAAAAUAAACCCCUUUCCGAAUUAGAUAUUACUGUAAAGGCUAUGUCUUUAACAAGGAUAUUGAAACAAGAUUUGAGAACUUUUUUAAUGGUUACAAUACCAACUCUAAUGUACCAUAUGAAACAGGUGGUAGUCAAGAUGCCAAACAUAUUGAUGAUGAUGACGACUUUGUGGGUGACUAAUUUGUUCAAUCGGCGAACUCAUCGGAUUCAAAGGAAACAGAAUUAACACGAUACUUGAACGAAGGAAAAACCCAAGAUGUUAAAGACUUUGAUAUACUGGUUUGGUGAAAAAUAAUGCAUCUUGUUACCCAAUUCUCUCAUAGAUGGCAAAAGGUAUAAUUUUAAUUACUUAUAUUUUUUAUUAUAAUGUAGUAUAAUUUAACAUUAUAUGUUUAUGUUAUUAGAUAUUUUGGGCAUUCAAAUAUCCACCGUGGCAUCCGAAUCCGCUUUUAGUACAAGCAGUCGCAUAACUGAUAGUUACCGAGCAAACUUGUCCACACCUAUAAUAGAAGCUUUGGCUUGCACCCAAGAUUGGGUAAGGAAAUCAAAGAAGCCGAUUGUUGAAAACAUCGAAGACAUAUUUAAAGAUGAUGACAUAGCUAAAGGAUACAAACAAAUUCAUUUUAUUAUCUAAUAACAAAACAUUGGUUAUAUGCUCACUUUCAUCACUUUCACAUUAAUUUUUUUUCUGGUAUGUAUUAGAGUUGGAAGACACCAUACGCACCCAAAACGGAAAUGGAAAAAGGCCGAUAGAUAUUAACGAGUAGUUAUAUUCUUUUUAUUUUUUUUUGUUGAUAAAUGAUUAUUGGUUUGUAAGUGUUUGGUUGGGUUGAUUAAUGUUUUUGAACUUGAAUCAAAUGGUGGUAAAGUGAUGACGUUACUGUUUGGAAUAUUUGAAUUUAUGUGGAUAAGAAGAUGCAUUUGUUUGGUUAAUGAAGAUUUAUACUAAAUUGAUUGCUUUCAUUUUAUAUGUUAGUAUUCUCUAUCAACGAUAUAACAUCCCAAUUUUCAAGACCAAAAAUUUCAUUUUGAUAUAACGAUUUAGAAAAAAAACAUUUAUAAGGAACAUCGUCGAGUCACAUCAUUUCAUAAAACCAUAGUCACAUGUCUCAAAACCAUAUCAUAAAAUAGUAAGAAUGUCAGAGUACAAUCCCAAGAAUCUCAUAAUGUGGAAAUCAUGUGUGUGUGUGAUGCGCUACUACCGUGUCGACUCCUUCCCCUUCGAUGAAGAGGUACCUGAAAACUAUAAACACAAAGCUUAGUGAGUUCCCCCAUCAUACCAUAUACCACAUAACUAACAUACUGUCGGACGAUUCUAGGGUGCCCGACCUACCCUGUCUGGCAUUUCUGGAGUGCCGGCCUACCAUGUCUGGCAAAUUCUGGAGUGCCGACCUACCCUGUUUGGCAAUUAUGGGGCGCCGACCUACCCUCCGGUUUAUCUUAUCCAUCUACUACUACCACAUAAUAACAUAACAUAAACAUGCUGUCAGACAUAUCUAGGGUGCCCGACCUACCAGUCGGUCCUUACGACCGUAACACGGUGACUAUUCCCCCUACUACUUACUAUUACAUAACAUCAUAUCAUGCUAGCACAUAAUCAUAACAUAUAGCAACAUACCAGAUAAUUAUCACGAAGACAAUUAUCUCUACUAUGACUCUUACUAGUGGGCUGGCCUUGGUGCCUUAGAUCCAGUUCUACUGGAAGGUAACUCACAUCAAUGUCGUGUUGUAACUAAACUGUCCUCGUUGUUAGGGUCAACUCCUCUCAAACUCCGACACAUAACAACCAUCCUUAAUUACCAUUUCAUACUCGUAACCCUUUCAAGGUUCAACUCAAGUCAAAGUCAAAGUCAAAGUCAAGGUCAAGGUCAAGGUCAACCCCCUGGUCAAAGUCAACAUCUGGUUGACUCAACUCGUCGCGUUGGUCCACCAACUCGUCGAGUUCCCUCCUACAUAGUCGGGACUUUUACUCUUGUCUCGUCGAGUUCUUCUUCAAACAGAGUCGGGACCUUUUGCUCAUGACUCGCCGAGUUCAUCCUUGAACUCGUCGAUUCCUGCUUCAUAUCAGUUGGGACAUUUGUCUUGAACUCGCCGAGUUCAUCCUUGAACUCGUUGAGUUCUUUGAUCUUCAAGUCGAUAUUCACGUCCAUCUUGUUGAGUCCUCUUCUAGACUCAACCAGAUUUCUCAGAAACUAGAAAAGGUUGGGGAACCAUGACCCGACUCGCCGAGUCCAAUGAACGACUCGCCGAGUCUCCCAAAGUCCAAGUCCAUACAGUCGAUUUUAGUUGGGCUUAUAGCAUCCAAACCAUAGAUCUGGCCUCCUAGGGUCGAUAUAACAUGUAAAGUUACAAUCUUUAUGUGCAGGCAUGGGUGUUAUGAAGCUAAAACACCAAAACUAAGCCAUAAAGGAGUUCUAAUGCAUGGGAUAGGGCCAUUGCUUAAUAAAGGUGGCAACGUUAAGCUUCCUGAGCUCAAAAGUUCCCAGAUCUGAAGUCAUUACUCUAUUAUGCACUCAAAUCCCGAGAGCGACUUAGAAAUGGCCCAAAAUGACAAUAUGCAAGCCCUAAAGAAGAUCUAAGUGAUGGAAAUCCAAGUUAUAAGCUUUAUACCUCAACCACGCUAGAAAUGCAACCUAAGCUCUAGAUCUAUUGCCCUCCUCUUGAAUCUCCAAGCGUUUCCUUCUUUCUCCAAGCUUCAAAUCACUAAAAUGGCACAAAUAAGCUCAAGAACACUCACAAGCUGAUUAGGGUUGCAAGAAUAAGGUCUGAGGGUGAUGGACGCUGGAGUGGAGGCCAUAUAAGGUGUUUAAAUUGGGUGCAAACCCUAAAAUUUAGGGUUUCAUUCAGAUAGAUCUACUCGUCGAUUUGGGGCUUCAGACUCGUCGAGUAGACUCNNNNNNNNNNNCCCCCCGUCCAAGAUUCGCCCUUACUCGAUGAGUUUGGGGUCUCAAUUUGUCGAGUCCCAAUAUAAAAAAAAUGCAAAACUCAUUUAAAAUAUGUACCGAGAACCGGGCGUUACAACCAAGCAUUCAUUCAAAUUAAAAUUCUUAAACUAAAAAAAAUACAUGACUUUCUUCUAUGAGAGUACCUAGUCUAACAUUAAAAACAAUUCAAAUCAAAAUUCUUAAACAGUUAAGAGCAAAACAGUACAUGCUCCUUGUCCUUGACCAUCUUAUCUAGUUAACACAUCUUCAAUCUCUGUACAUAAAACAAAAAUAAACAUAUUUAGUAUUGAAAAAAAUGUUACCAAAUAAAUAAAAACACAUUAUUUGGAUUUUUGGCACACAUACGACAAUUUUUAGUAACACUACUUGUACUGUGUCUCGAUGGAUCGGCCUAAAGUAUAGCGAAGCAAUACUUACACUUUGCUUGUCUUCGUUUAACCCCAUCAUCUUCUACUACCCACAACAUAUAUGUUUGCAUUUCUACUUAAAUAAGAUCUUAUAUCAUCCAAAUAGCAAUCAUUAUCAUGUAUUCUCCCCCAAAAUAUAAAAGCUUUAAAAAAGGGACCGUAAGCACUCACCUUAAUGCAUGAUUUGUGAACUAGAGUCGAGAGUGCAGUUAUCUUUGAGAAGCACUUUGAGAAAACACAAUCUAGGAAUGAUCUAAACCGGGGCUGUUUUGGACUUGAUUUAAACCCACAAAACAAAACCAAAACUAUAUUAUUGAACUAUAAAAACACCACAAAAUAUUGCAACCCAAGGGACGACACUAAAGGUGGUGGAAUGGUGGGCUAAUGGUGGUGGUUUACCGGCGGUUGAAGGGGCUGCUCUGGUGGGGAGUUCUAGGCCGAGAAAGAAAGAAAUGGAGAAGGAGAGGUGAAGGCUGAUGAAUUGUGAGGAAAUGGGAAGCUAAGGGCUUCCUUUUAUAGCAUAAGUGAGCUCUCACAUGUCCAUGCAUACCAUGCUUUGUUAGAAAGUCAAACACUUAAUGUGGCCAUACUUUGUCCUUUAGAAGAAGAGUAAACACAAGAUGUUAAGGUGGAAGAAUAGAGGGGGGAAGGCUACUCACGUGGGCAAGGAGGGUGGGGUGCCCAUGGCUGAUUUUUAUCACCUCUUGCAAGGAUGGUGGGCCAUGAUGAUGUCACACAUAGCAAAAAGUCCCAAAAUUGCUUCUAGAUUUGCAUGCCAAAAUCUCGACACCUAAUAUUUUUUUUUAAAGUGGCUUAUGAUAUAGUAGAGUUCAAGGAUUCCAAAAACCCGAACGGAUUAACGAGUUGUAGAACUUCGGGAAAUCGUGUUUAAAGUUUCGCAUCUAAAUGACCCAAAACGCUCGAUUUUUCGACUUUUGCAAAUAUUUUCACUAAAAAUAUUUCGAGUAUAAAAUUAAAUAUUAGACCAUAGUUUGAGUCCAAUAACGCUCUCAGAAUUUCCAUAUGAUGUGUGCAAGUGCCUCAAGGAAUAGAAAUGAUUAUAGCGGUUUAAAGAAAGUUAGUGUUAUACUGGUUUGGUUUCGUAUAACAGUCGUAUCUUCUACAUACAAACUCCAUUUUGGGUGUUCUUUAUAUUUUCAUAAAUAGGUGAACAUGUACUAUGAGACUAGAGUUUUUGCUUCGUUCACAACUGCUUAAUACGAAAUUUUAGUUUUUCAAACCUAUUAACUAGGGUUGCUGUUUGAGCUGUUUGAUUCGUUUGUGAUUUUACACAUUUGGAAGUAAGAUGCCAUGGUAUCUUAUAAUAGUUGUGAUGACACUAUAUAUUAUUCAAAAUAUGCAUUAAAGCUAAUAGGUCAGAUUACAAAGAGGUACACGGUGAACUGACUGUCUACAGUUUUAGACCUAAAUUUUGGGAUGUCAUACUAAGAUUGAUAGACUACAUAAUUCUAUUGAUAUGAUUGAAUCUAAAGAACAAAUGACCCACAAUUUUCGUCAUCCUUGGUCUAAAGCACCUGGUCUUGAAAGCGAGUCUCCGAAACCUAUUUCUAAUACCCUGAAAGAACUUUAAAAUUUGACAUUUAUGGGAGACAUUUUGAACCAUACUUAUUCGGAUAUUGUUGCCUUACCAUUGUCAUCCCUUUAAGAGACUUCAAACAAAUAUCAGUCACUAAUUUCUGACUUCAAACCAAUCACUAUUACAUGUCAUGAUCCCAUGCAACUUCCACCUCUAAUAUCCAUUGGCCCGAAUUAGUCUUCAAAAAUUCCACAUGGCACUGGGGGUACUAGAGUAUAUCUUCCCAACUUUGGUCCUCUAAAAAAUUGCGUUGUUGAGGAAAUCAUUCAUGAGACAUGCGGACAUGACUCGGAUCAACCUAACUUAUUUCGGGUGUCCAUUGAUAGUGAUGUUGAUAAAUAAAUCAGACGUGAUGACGACUCUUCGUCCAUCAGACGUGAUGACGACUCUUCAUCCAUUUCGUCUAUUCCACACUCUAGAGUUGUCUCAAAGUCCACAUUAGCUCGAAUUAAGCCAUGUUUCAACAAUCCAUUUGUAGGAAAAUAUUCUAAGUCAUCAUAUGACUGUAGGAAGAAGCCCUGGUUAAACAAGAAGGAUAAUGUUCAUAUGGAGAUUGGGGCUCAAAAGGCUCUUGAACAAAGAAACUAUGUCUAAACAAAGCUCUAGGUUCCUUGAGAAAUCAGAUAAGAAAGUGUCACAAAAAGUAGUUAGUUCCGCUACGAGGAAUCACAAUUCAUUCAUGCCGGUUAAAAUAAUUAAUAGACCAUAUAUUCCUGUUAGCUCGAAUAUUCCUACUUCUACAAAGAAACAUUCUGCAAAUAUGUUAAUAUUGACUCAUCACCAAAGAAUAGUAAGGGGUUGUUUGUUUACCUCUUAAUGCCUCUUAAAAACAGAGAUAUCUGAAUUAUUUCCAUUAAGAGUGUUUUGCAGCAUCUAAUUGUUUGCCUCUUAAUUUUUCAAAAGGCUCUUAAUAUUUCAGAUGUGAGUAUGCAUUUGAAAAGAAAAAAGAGGCUCGCGUAUUUCACUUUUCUUAACCUAUCCUCUUCAGUCUUCACCCUCUUCUCUUUUUCUUGCAGCCAUAAAAAAUACCCGCAUCCAUCCUCUCUGUUGCACUUCACAGAGGACCAUUGUCUGCCGUUGCACGCACCACCUCUGUCGCAGGUCAUCGUCGACCCCACCGCCCCCUUCCUCCCACUCCGUUCUGCCUUCCUCUGGCUAGAGACGCUGCCUUUCUUCCCCUCGCACACCGACCGCCGCUGCCUACUCCUUCCCCUCAAUCACAGUGAAAUUUUUACUGUUUCUUUUACAAAAACAUGGAACCAGUUUUAACAAAUAACAAUUUCUGAUGAUUUCGUUUAUUCAUAUUGUUUCUUAAUUCUUAUGUAAAUUUCUAGGUAGAAAACAUGAGAUUGCAAGGUUCCCAAAUUAUAAAAAUGUUGUUUAUUAUUUCCAUUGUCAAAAGAUUAAAGGAUACAACCUCUAAAGUGUUUUUUAUAAAUGUGCUUAGUUUUCACAUAAUUGUUUGAAGGUACUUGGUGUGUUGAUUGUGUAUGCAGGACUAUUGGAUUUUGUACAAUGAAUUCUGCACAUGAGGUGUUCGAUGGAAUGCUCGAGAGAAGUUAUGUAUGUUAUGGUGAAAAAAUUAUAACUAUACAUAUGGAUAUGAUUUGUGUGUGUGCUUUGAUAUUAAUUUUAGUUUCAAUUGACAAAAAAUUGCUUAUAUAUAUUAUUAGAUUUCGAAACAUGUCAAUUUUAUAUGUAUUUCAAGUUGUUUUUGUUAGGAAGGUAAAAUGGUUAUUUUUAUCAUUUGACACAGAAAUUCAGAUGUUCCAAACAAACAACAUUUUAUAAAUUCAGACCCUCUUAGAAAUUCAGAUCUCUUAAAAAUUCAGAUCCUCCCAAAGAGCCCCUAAACUCUCUUCGAAAAGUGUCCUCUCCAGUAUUUACUGCCACCUCAAAUGGAAAAAAAUUUAAGCAAAAAAAAAUCUCCAAAUGUGCCUACAAGAGAUGUGAAUAAAGGAAAAGAUACUCAUAACUUUUAUGUUCGGAACCCCACAAAAGGUCCAAAUCUGAAAUGUGAAUGGAAGGCUAAAGGGAAUGGAAAUUCAACCGAGCAAUUUGCCAUUCUGCAUACUCAAAAUCAAAAACGACUUGGUACAAUUUCAAGCCAUUCUAUAAUCCAAAUCAUGAAUUCAGACCACUAAACCUUUCAAUUUGAUUUCUUACAGCUUUGUUUUUGUGUCGUGAUUAUGUUGCUUAAUAGUGUUUCUUUUCCCAUGAAUUCUGCAAACGAAUUUGGUUUCUAAUGAAAUUGCCACUCUUCUAAUGAUAAGAACAUUGGUAUGGACCCUUUGAAUAUGGAGCAGAAUUUUGUACAUGAUGAUGUUCCCCAUUAACUUUACUUAAAACGAGCACAUACAAUGUUAUCAAUCUUUUGAUUGAAAAGACAGAAGAUGUCUAUCAAUGGAGUUAACUAAAGCAUUUUAUAUAUUUUUUUUCUUAUUGGAAAUCUUGUGUUUACUAAUCUUAAAAGUUCAUACUUUGUUAGAAUAUGAUAUUUUUUUAUCCUUGUAGUUUCUCAAUGUUUGUUGCCAUUAAUUACACAUUGAUGUUUGACUUUGACUGCUACAAUAUAGAAUGUAGAAUGUUGUUGCUUUUUCUGAAGUUGUCAAAGUUUGUUGUCAUUUAUGGAGGUUUGGUGUUUGGAUGCCUCCUGCUUCUAAUUCAUAUAGAUAUCUCAACAUUCAUUGGCUUCUGAAACAUAGUAGACCUAUUCAAGACUCAAACCUCAUACGGAAGUAAAGGAGAAAAUCACAAAAGUUGGUGGGCUGAAUUUUGACCUUCAAUGUCAAAUAUGUUGUUUUUUAACUUUGAAAUCUUUAAGAAAUACUAAAAGAACUAAUCAAACAGGAAGGUGAGAGAUAUUAUAGACACAAUUCAAACAAGUGAAAACCUCAAGUUUCUCUGAUAAAGAUUCAAUUUCAUAAACUAUCAUCUUAGCCAUCUCUUCAUCUAUGUCAACAUUUUUUUGACAAAACUGACAAAAACAAGGUAACCACUUAUGAUCUUAGCCAUCUCUUCAUAAACAAUCCUUGAAUCCUUUGUAUGUUGCUACAACCUAGUAGUUCAAACUUCAAACUUGAAAGCAUGUGAAUCUUAUUGUUCAUGAUUAACAACAAUUGCAAUAAAUAGCAAACUACUUACAUUUAUUUGUUUACCUUCAAUAAUGAUUAACAUUCUCUACAAACAACUAUUUUUCUCUAGUCCUCUUGUUCCAAGUUCAUCGUAUGGAAUCUGCAAGAUCACUCCCACUACAUACACUAACAAAACUAACCCAUGAAUGUACAUAUGAACAUAACUUUCCAUGCAGAUCAAUCGUAAAAGCAAACGAGUUUUGUACCAUAAUUCAAGAUGUUAACAACUUUUGAAAAGCAGUGAAGUAUGUAAAACUCAUGGAAGUUUUGUGUAGGCUAAAAAUCAAUGGACAGAUAGGUACUUUUAAAUUUUAAACUUUUCUAAAAGGGAAAUAUUGUAACUUUAUGAAAAGUGUUGUAGUAUUUAAACAUCUUAUACUUUUUUUUUGCUUGUUGAUCAACUCAUCAAGUUCACGGAGAGCAAGGAACAAGCAUGAAAGAAAACAAAGAGUCAAUUUUGAUGAGUUGAUAGGAUGCUCAAUUUUUUGGCACAUUGGAUCUUAAUUUAGUUUUAGUUGUAGUUUAAUUUUGGGUUUUGGUUGAUUUGAGUGAGGUAUUUUUGGUUUAGAUGAUGAAGGAGAAAAAGACGAGGACAAUUUAGUCAUUUCACUUGGACUUCACGGACAUUUUGCAACACCAUCAGCAGUUGGUACAAACCUUACAACAAAACUAUACUUUUUUGACCACUUGUGCAACAAAUGAAAUAUCUAGAUGAAAACCAUAACUUUUGAAAUAUCAAAAGGACGAAAUACUAUUGUCUGUCCCCUGGGGUAUCCAAAAAAUAUCAUUUUCCAGGUAAAUACUCUGCAACAUGAAAUUGCAAUAAAUAUAAUAUGUGGGUCAGGGUGAUAGAAGUUGGAGGGCAAAAAAGACAUUUACAUGUCACUGGUUUUUGAUAGUCAUGUACUCUGAUGUUAACUAAGACAACAUACUGCCUCUCCUCUCUGUGUAUGUUGAAUCAUAUGAAUAAGAUCCCAUGAAAAAUGGCCAAACCUAGAAUAACAUGUCAUUAACAGAUUUAGUUAAAACUAGCCAAAAGGGUAAAUGUGUAAAUUGUACCAAAAUAUAAAAGCCUCUUUUUCGCAAGUGUUCCACUCCCUCAUCGAAUAUUCACUUUUUUAAUGCAUCUGGAUCCGUGACUCAGCCUUCAUAAUCCAAAAAGCUUGACCUCUGAAUAACAAAAGAGCAACUUGCUUAUUCUGUUUACAUUGAAUAUAGACAAUGCACUAUUUUUUUACCAAAAAGAGCAGCGUACUUACAUUUCUUUACCAAUAGAAGCAAUGUAUUUAUACUUUGUUCUUUAUCCAUAAUAGCAGCAUACUUAUAUACUUUUACCUGUAAUAGCAACAUAUUUUUAUUUCCCUACUAAAAUGAGCAAAAUGUACUUUAUUUGUUACAUAUUGCUAACUAUUGGUAAAGAGAUCCAAGUAUGUUGCCCGUUUUUAUAAGUUUAACAUCUAGGUGACGACCCAGGUACCAAACAUGUUAUGAAAACUAUGACAAUAACACUUUAAGAAAAUACAAGACAUAGAGGAUCAAAAUUAAAAAAAUCAGCUACACUCAUGGGCCAAAAUUUAAAUAUUACUAAAAUAAGCUAGAUAAAUCACUCUUAUAUUGUUAUUUAAAUACUGUUACAAAAUCAUUGAUAUUCAGUAAUGAAAAAUAUCCUUUAAGUACUAAUAGUAGAAUAAAAUUAUGUAUUAAAGUAUUAACAUUUGAUCCAGUAACAAAAAUUGCCACCAGAAAGAAUGAGAUGAAAUCCAUAAUUUCUUAACAUUAUUGGUUUGGCUAAAAUAAAUAGUAACAACAAUAAGUUGCUUGUUCAAGCUUCACAGCUGAAUGAAGAGGCUCUUGCAAAAAAAAAAUGAAGUUUUUUAACAGUAUUCUCAUAUAUAAUAUGUUUAUUCACAAAAGGGAAUUGAUUAUUACCUCAUCAGAGAUACAAAAGUAAACACCAGCACCCUCUUAACAUCGUAUUAAGUGUGUGUUAAUAUGUUAGAUUUUGAAUGUAUAAUGUCAUAAGGAAAAGUAUCAUCCUCCUUAAUAAAUGAAGGUUUUUUGACACUUGUCAUUCUCUCAUGAGAUUUGACACGUAUCAUAUAUAUGAUAUUAAAUUGUAAUAAAUACGUUUCUUUCUUUCUUAUUUUAAAGUUGUAUAUUAAAAAAUAUUUUAUUUUUAUACUUUAAGUUUAAUCAUUUUUUAAAUCAACCCGUAUAAUAUACGGUCUCACACCUAGUGUUAUAUUUAAAAGUACAAUCUUAAAAGUAAAUAAGUGAAAGAUCUAUCCAAUUAUUGCACAGUUAGCUUUUUUCUUAUUAGAAGAUUCUUGCUUAUUAGGAUAUUACACAAAUAAAAGAAAAUAAGUUGUUUAUUGCAUUUAGCACUAAAUAUAACUUACACUUUAAGAANNNNNNNNNNNNNNNNNNNNNNNNNNNNNNNNNNNNNNNNNNNNNNNNNNNNNNNNNNNNNNNNNNNNNNNNNNNNNNNNNNNNNNNNNNNNNNNNNNNNAAAAAAAAAAAACAACCCUUUUAGACCUAAACCACCAACCUGACAAUAAGAACAUGUUGUUUUAACUGUAGCAAGAAACUCCUCCACUAUAGAAGUAAAGAGGAACCUGAAAUUAGUAGAUCACAUUUGAAAAUUCAUAAAUAUAUUUUGCCUUCUGGCAUAAACAAAUGCAUAUGAAAACCUCAUAGAUGUUAAUAACAAUGAAAACAAAAUCAAAUUAUAGCACAAAAGACUGUAACUUAAAGGACAAAACUAACCUUUCUCAGAUAGCCAUGGAUUUGAAUUUUGAGCUUUAGCUUUUUUAAGGUAUCCAUGUCUAUUAUGUCAAAAAGAAAGUAUUAUCUUACUACAAUAACAAACAAUCUAAUAGAACAUACAUACAUUACAAAAAACUAAAAUAAUACUUCAGAGGAAUAGAUCAUUUCCAUAAAUAGUGAAGAGCCUUGUUUGAUCAACUUCAAACCCCCACUGAUCCUCUCUGUGGCGUAUUGAGUUGGAUGAACUAAAAAUAUGUUACCAAUAGAAGCAAUGUAUUUAUACUUUGUUCUUUAUCCAUAAUAGCAGCAUACUUAUAUACUUUUACCUGUAAUAGCAACAUAUUUUUAGUUCCCUACUAAAAUGAGCAAAAUGCACUUUAUUUGUUACAUAUUGCUAAUUAUCGGUAAAGAGAUCCAAGUAUGUUGCCAUUUUUAUAAAUUUAACAUCUAGGUGACUACUAAACCUGUUAUGAAACCAUGAAAUCAGUAGCAAAAAUUCAGAAAAGUAUAUGUUACUACUAUAAUAAACAAUCUAAUAGAACAUAAAUACAUUACAAAAUACUAAAACAGUACUGUAGAGGAAUAGGACAUUUCCAUAAAUUUCUUGAUCAACUUCAAAUAUUUUGAAUAUAAAACGCUAUAAAUGUUAACCAAAAUGAAACAAGUUCAGAUUUUUAAAAUACAAAUCUAACUAGGUUAGAUUUUUAAAAUGCAAUGUCUUGGUAGGAAAAAAAUUAUAUGCACAAUGUCUUAAUAGGAAAACAGUAGAAAGUACAAUUAACUUAAAGGAAAAAUAGUUGUCAAAAAUAUUGAACUAUAAUUGGCACAACCGGAAUCAAACAAACUUAAUAUUAUGAAGGCAAAAGGUCUAGAUUUCUAUAUGCUCUUCUUGACUGCUCCAGUUAUCCUAUCAAAUAACCACAAAUUAGUAGAUGAAAUACAUAAAUUAAGAUUUGUUAGGCAGCUUACAAUCUUCAGAAAUUCAUAUAACAUGGGGAAGAAUCUAUGUGUUGAUAAGUGUCGCAGAUUAGAUUAGAUGACCCUAAUAAUAACCAUACAAAUACAAAGCGAUUUCACUGCUUACAUAGGUAAACUUUUUCGAAAAUUAAAAAUUAAAAUUGGUGUCCACUUGUAUAACAUAUUAUAGAAACAUCAUCAAAGGGUGAUGAUUGUUACUUCCCUAAAGCGCACCGAUUCAUAUGGCAAACAAAUCAGUAAUAUAAGAAUGGGUAGAAAUCAUGAAAGAUUAAAAACUCAAAUCAAAGAAACUCAUGUUAUUGGAGAUACAUGUUUAAGAAAAUGAUACAAACUUUAACCCCGGUUUCUGAUGGAAGAGAUGCAAUUGAUAAGAAAUGAUUAACCAUCAUACCAUUAUCAAACCCCCACAGAAGGAAUCUCUGACAAAAAGCUCAUCAGCAAUUGAAAUGUCAAAGUGAUUGAUUAGCAACUAAUAUCACAAAUUUAAGCGUUUGAAAAAUAUGGCUUUGUGCAGAAAUCAUGUUGAAAAAUAUUGAUUAGCAACUAAUAGCAACUAAUUCACAUCAUCCAGACCUGCAAGAUCAAGAUUGGGCAUUAAUUUCAGUUUACUACAUUUGCAGCAUAAAGAAAGAUGAUUUAUGUCAAUGUUUUAUAUUCAGUUUUAGUGUAGAAAGCCUAACUAAUGUGAGGAUGAUGAGGAAAUCCAGUGACUAGCUUCAAAGGAUAAUCUGUCACCAAAAGAGAAAUAUGUCAAGGUUUCAUAUUCAAGCAAUAUCUAAUGUUUGAUAAUGAACCCAACAAGUAAACACUCCACUUUCAUGUCUUCAAUUUCUUUGGAAGAUCAACAUUGUACCCGUGUUCUACCACUAACAUAUCAACAAAAUAAGUAACGAUGGUGUUAAAUGUAGAGCAAAAGAAGAGGGUGUAUUUACAUUAGAAUGUGUAUAUGAAUAUGAAAUCCAGAGUUGAUAAAAAACACAACCAUGGAACAACAAAAAUGUACACUGAUUUAGGCAAAUGUCUCUUGAUUUGAUGACUGAAACAAACUAAUAUCAAAUCCUAACCUUCGUGAGUGUCCUUCAAAACAUAAUCCCCAAAUGUGUGAAACAUAUCAACUAUUCAUGUCUUAUUUUUACAGCUUCUCCUAUUAAACUAAUUUCGUUUCGAGUUUUCAGAAAGUGGACCACAUAGAUGCAUUCAACAAUUCACACAUUGAAUCCAAAUAUUUGAUAUGCAAUAUAAAACUUUUAGGUGUCUCGCUCGCUGAUUCUAAAAUAUGCCACAUUCUAAAGUAGUUGGUUAUGUACAAUAAAUCUGUUUCGCGUGUAAUUAUGAAAUUCAAAUAUUUAUAUUCAAUAUUUUUUACAUCAUAAUAAAAUUUAUAUAAUUAAGGAGUGAAAAAACCUCUCUGAUGAUCCAUCGUGGACCAAAAGAAAAAAAAAAGAUCCACAAACAUAUUGAUACCUAGGAUCUGCAUGUCAAUUGAAGAAACAACAAAAAGGCCUGCACAUUCAUUAUAAUUAAAGACUUACAUGUAACUAACUUAAAUGGAAGAAUGAGAAACAAUGCACUUACAUGUAACUAACAGGAUGAUCAAAGGCUUCAUGGUCUGAAAAGGAUACACAUACACAUAUGUACACAUAUGCUGCAUACAAGUUCAACUUCUUUAUUGAAAAACUGGAACCAUGCAUGUUGAUACAAAAUCAGGUUGAUAAGCUGCAUGGGAAAGUAAAUAAAUACUGUUAAACUCUUACAACUGUGUGUAACUUUCAUGCAGUAUAAGCGUAUAAGUAGGUGAAAAACUUACAGAUGGUUAUAGUUUCUAUGCAUCAGUAAUAACAUUGUUCUAACUGCUCCUUUGUCACCUACUUGAAUGAAAAAAAAAACAUUUCUCAGAAAAAACUACUAAACAAGUCACUUAAUAGAAAAGCAUUGUAACACUUGAUGAAUGUUGUGAACAUCUAAACAAAUAAAUUUAUACCUCAACAUUUGGUUGUCAAACAUCUGAUGCAUACAACAUUCACAAUUUGAACUUGUAGAGUCUGUAGGGGCCAAGUCAUGUAUAAUUAAUUAGUUUCUUGUCUACAAACUAUGCAUCUGUUAGAUGGACCUCUUCUUUAUAAUCUAAUAAAAUUCAAAAGAGACCGAUUUCAAUUAAAAAGUCCAAACAAUAAAGACAAAGUUUUUUUUAAAUGAAUUACAGCAGGAGUGGGGGAGAAAGUCCAAAAAUAUAUAUUAUUUUUAAUCACAAAAGAGAUUUGAUUAUUACCUCAUCAGUUGUACAAUGGUAAAAACUGUGGGAUAAGUAAUUCUGACUUGGUCUUUUGUUGACCUUGUCUAAAGGAAUAAGUGGUGUAGCUGCCACCAUUUUAGGAGGACACGUUUUUACAGUUUUUUAGCUUAGCAGUUUUUCCCUUUUGCUUAUUAUUUAAAGCCUUGUAAGUCUCUUGUUUUUGAUAAAGAAAUUGAAUAAGAAGAAAAGCUGGAAUCUUUCCCUGCAACUCUGUUUUUCCUUAUUUGGGCAUACUCUUUUGAUCAGUAACAGGCCCUGCACCAACACUUGGUAUCAGAGCUUUCUAGCUUAUGCCCAAAUACAUAAGGUACGACAACAUGACAGGUUCCAGUCAACAAGUACCAAGAGAUAACGGUGGGGUGUCGUUCCAAUGUCCAUUGUUGACUUCAACAAACUAUACAACGUGGGCAAUCAAGAUGGAGGCUAUCAUGGAUGCUCAAGGUGUUUGGGAAUCCAUAGAACCAACAGUCGGGGUGAUUGUUGACGAGAAGAAGAACAAGAUGGCACGAGCCUACAUCUUCCAAGCAAUACCGGAGGACAUUCUCAUGCAGGUAGCAAAGAAGAAAACCGCAAAAGAGAUGUGGGAAUCGUUGAAAAUCCGUUACCUGGGGGCAGAUAGAGUGCAAAAGGCGAGGUUACACUCACUCAAGAGUGAGUUUGAUGCACUGAGGAUGAAAGGAGAGACCAUAGAUGAAUUCGCAGGAAAGUUAAGUGGUAUUAACUCAAAAUACAUCAGUCUUGGUGCAACAAUGGAAGACAGCACUUUGGUGAGAAAGUUGCUUGAUUCUGUCCCAGAAAAAUUUCUACAGCUUGUGGCCUCGAUUGCAGUAUUCAGNGGCCUCGAUUGAACAGUAUUCAGACUUGGAUACAAUGCCAUUUGAAGAAGCUAUUGGCAGACUCAAGGCCUAUGAAGAUCGACUACGAGUUCGGGGUGAAAACUCGAAUGCUGAAGCGGGUUUGUUGCUGACUCGAUCUGAAGGGCAAAUGGGUCAAAAAUCACAAAAGGGCUCUCCUAGUGCAGCAGGAAGAGGUCGUGGAUCUUCUAAUGAAAGGGGAGGUCGAGAAGGUUAUCGAGGAAGAGGCUCAAGAGGUAGAGGCGGCCGAGGAAAUCAACAAUCAUUCCGAGAUACAAGUAAUGGUCGAGGAAAGGGAAGAGAUAAAAGUCACAUAAAAUGUUUUAAUUGUGACUUGUUUGGACACUUUGCAUCGGAGUGCCCAAAUCCCAAGAAAAAAGAAGCUGAUGUUAAUCUCACACAGGUACAGGAUGUAGAACAUGCGCUAUUGUUAACUGUAUGGGGUGAAGAUACAGAUGAAUUGGUGUUGCUCAAUGAAGACAAAGUUUUCCCAGCAACAAAAGGGAAUGAGAAGGACACAUGGUACUUAGACAAUGGGGCCAGUAACCACAUGACAGGGGUGCGAGAAUACUUUGCAGAACUUGAUGAAAGAAUAACAGGGCAAGUGAGAUUUGGGGACGGAUCCAAAGUACAAAUCAAAGGAAGAGGAACAAUUCUGUUGGAGUGUAAAAACGGGGAGCAACAGAUAAUAUCUGAAGUAUAUUACAUCCCUGCCUUGAAGAGUAAUAUACUUAGUCUUGGUCAAAUGACAGAAGUGGGGUACAUAAUUGAGAUGAUCCAUGAAUUUUUGAGAGUUCAUGAUGAAAGAAAUCGGCUGAUCAUGAAGGUACAACGCUCGAGAAACCGGUUGUACAAGAUCGUGCUCCAUACGUCACAACCAAUAUGUCUAAGUGCAAGUUUGGAUGAUGUUGUUUGGCUUUGGCAUGCAAGGCUGGGGCAUAUAAAUUUUCCCUUGAUUGAGUCCAUGGUAGAAAAAGAGCUGGUGAUUGGAGUGCCGAGAAUCAACCAUCCCACACAAGUUUGUGAAGGAUGUCUAGUCGCAAAACAAACACGACAACCGUUCCCAAAAGAAACUCAAUGGCAAGCAAUGAAUCCUCUAGAAUUGGUACAUGCAGACCUCUGUGGCCCAAUAACACCCCAAACUAUAGGAGGUAAUCAAUAUUUCCUCCUCAUAGUAGAUGAUUGUAGCAGAUAUAUGUGGGUGACGAUGAUCAGAACCAAAAGUCAAGCAUUUGAUGCGUUCAAGAAGUUCAAGACUCGUGUAGAAGCUGAAGGGAAGUUCAAACUAAAAAUGUUGCGCACAGACCGAGGAGGUGAAUUCACGUCUAAAGAAUUCAAUGAUUAUUGCAACCAGGAGGGAAUUAAAAGACAAUUGACAACGCCCUACUCCCCACAACAGAACGGGGUAGUAGAGCGUCGGAAUCGAACAAUUCUUGAAGCCACCAGGUCCUUAUUGAAAGCAAUGGAUGUCCCAGAAACACUUUGGGGGGAAGCCGUUCGCCACGCGGUUCAGAUACUUAAUAGAGUGCCAACAAAAGGAGUCAAGAAUAUGACCCCAUAUGAAGCUAUGUAGGGGAAGAAACCAACACUCGAACACUAUAAAGUGUUUGGUUGUGUUGCUCAUGUAAGAGUGCCAUCGAAUCAGCUCACAAAAUUGAGUGAUAGAAGUGAGAAGAUGAUUUAUCUAGGAAACGAGGAGGGAACAAAAGGCUAUCGCCUGUACUGCCCUAAUCGGAAGAGAAUUUGGGUAUCCCGUGAUGUUAUAUUUGAAGAGAAAAAGAAAGGGGAUUGGGCUAAGCCCCAAUCUCAAGGCCCAAUUUUAAAUGAUUGGGUCAGAUUUCCUAGUGAAGGUAUGGCCCAAGAAUGUGUGGUGGGGAACGAUCCAAUACAAGGGGAGAUGGCAAGCCCUAAUUCACAAUCCAGUGAAAGCCACUCACAACCGACAUCUCCUGGUCAAUCACAAAUUGGCAACGAAAGGGGUGAAUCACCAAACUCAUUUGCGGGCAUCGGAUCUCCAUCCUCAGACGAAGGACUUAGUGCAGACAGAGAAACAUACGAUGACACACCAGUUCGUGGCUUUCGGUCCUUGGCUGAUAUAUACGAGGAAACGCAAGCCCUACAAGAAGAUUCAGAAGUNAAGCCCUACAAGAAGAUUUAGAAGUUUUAAUGUAUGCUGGAGAAGAACCCACUACCUAUGAAGAAGCCUCGAGUGAAGAAGAAUGGAUAAAAGCAAUGAAACAGGAGUUGGAAUCCAUUGAAAAGAAUGAUACUUGGAAGUUGACUCACCUUCCUAAAGGUCAAAAAGCAAUAGGUUUGAAGUGGGUCUUUAAAUUAAAGAAAGAUGCUGAAGGAAACGUGACCAAAUACAAAGCCAGAAUAGUCGCCAAGGGAUAUGUACAAAAAAAGGGUAUCGAUUUCGAUGAGGUUUUUGCGCCGGUAGCACGUCUGGAAACAAUACGGGCGCUGUUGGCCUUGGCAGCAAGUGGAGGAUGGAAAGUUCACCAUUUGGACGUGAAAUCGGCAUUUUUAAAUGGGUUCUUACAGGAGGAAGUAUAUGUUACACAACCAACUGGAUUUGUCAUUGAAGGAAAAGAGAACAUGGUGUACAGGUUGAACAAGGCACUCUAUGGUCUCCGUCAGGCUCCGAGAGCUUGGAAUGAUAGACUUGACAAAACUUUGAAAGAGAUGGGAUUCAAGAGAUGUCCACAGGAGUAUGCUGUGUACAAACUCCAUAAGUCAAACCAAGUCUUGAUAGUUGGAGUUUACGUGGAUGAUCUGAUCGUAACAGGAACAAAUGAAGAGCUGGUGAAUGAGUUCAAAAAACGAAUGCUGAAUAUCUUUGACAUGAGUGACUUGGGAAUUCUGUCCUACUACUUGGGGAUAGAAGUUCACCAAAGCAAAGAUGGUAUCACAAUAAGUCAAACAGGGUAUGCUAAGAAGAUUCUUAAAAUAGNNNNNNNNNNNNNNNNNNNNNNNNNNNNNNNNNNNNNNNNNNNNNNNNNNNNNNNNNNNNNNNNNNNNNNNNNNNNNNNNNNNNNNNNNNNNNNNNNNNNNNNNNNNNNNNNNNNNNNNNNNNNNNNNNNNNNNNNNNNNNNNNNNNNNNNNNNNNNNNNNNNNNNNNNNNNNNNNNNNNNNNNNNNNNNNNNNNNNNNNNNNNNNNNNNNNNNNNNNNNNNNNNNNNNNNNNNNNNNNNNNNNNNNNNNNNNNNNNNNNNNNNNNNNNNNNNNNNNNNNNNNNNNNNNNNNNNNNNNNNNNNNNNNNNNNNNNNNNNNNNNNNNNNNNNNNNNNNNNNNNNNNNNNNNNNNNNNNNNNNNNNAUUUAUGGCUGCAGCAGCCACAGCAUGUCAAGCUUUAUGGCUAAGGAGUUUACUAAAAGAGUUGAUUGGCUUGAAAGAAGAAAGUGUCAGGAUGUAUGUAGACAACAAAUCUGCCAUAGCCCUUAUGCAAAAUCCAGUCUUUCACGGAAGGAGCAAGCAUAUUGAUACUAAAUUCCAUUUCAUACGCGGAUGUAUUGAAAGGAAUCAAAUUGAAGUGAAGCACAUUAGUGGUGAAGAACAGAGAGCAAACCCCUUGACAAAAGCCCUGCCUAGACUCAAGUUUAUAGAGAUGAGGCAUCUCUUGGGAGUUGUGAAGCUUGAAGACAAAAAUCAGAAUUAAAGGGGAGCCUGUGGGAUAAGUAAUUCUAACUUGGUCUUUUGUUGACCUUGUCUAAAGGAAUAAGUUGUGUAGCUGCCACCAUUUUAGGAGGACACGUUUUUACAGUUUUUUAGCUUAGCAGUUUUUCCCUUUUGCUUAUUAUUUAAAGCCUUGUAAGUCUCUUGUUUUUGAUAAAGAAAUUGAAUAAGAAGAAAAGCUGAAAUCUUUCCCUGCAACUCUGUUUUUCCUUAUUUGGGCAUACUCUUUUGAUCAGUAACAGGCCCUGCACCAACAAAAACUGACAUCCUCAUUAUACUGACCACUUGUUUUUAAUAUUUCAACCCACAAAAGACCACACCAUUUGGCAUUUCCCUUCCCUGAUGUCCUAAUUUGCUACAUAAAAGCACACUUCUAAAAAAAUAAAAAAUAAAAGAAUCAAUCAAAUAACAAUAAUCUUUUGUAACGAAUUACUAGGCGUACUCUGUUACAUAAUCCUAAAACACUACAGAAUAUAAAGUAGGUCUCAGUUAUGCCAUGUCAUCCAACAAUUUCAAGUUAUCCUACACGAAUGAAAUUGCAUUAAUCAUGUCAUAAAGAAGCAUUAGUUUUGCCAUGAUGUGAUUAAGUACAAUAAAGAAAUCAUUAUCAUGAACUUAAUUCCGAAAAAACAAAAAAAAUUGAGUUUCUUACUCUUUGAUAAAAUCCAGCUGAGCGACCAACCAUAGUAUGCCAAUAUGAUCUGGUUGGACCUUUCAUAAAUGUGUGCCAAAGGAAGAUAAGAUACAUAUAAUUGAAAUAAGCAUGGACAAUAAAUAUUACAACAAAAUAAUGUUGAAACAAUUGGCAAAUACUUAAUUUCAGGACUUCCACUAGAAAAAAAACAUUUACAAUUGGGCUUCCAUGGGAAACUAUAGUCCCCUAACUAGUAAAAUAAUUAAAAUUAUAACGCUAUAACUUAAAAUAUAAUGCUAUGAUUGAUUAAAGUUUCAAAAUGCAAAGCAAUUUCACUGCUUCAUUAGGUAAAAAAUUUAGCAUAUAAUGUCAUCAUAAUAAGCAGCAAAAAAAAAUGAAAGUACGAUGCUAUAAAUGGGUGGAUUAUUAAAAGUAUAAUUUCACAAUAAGAAGACACUUGGAAGUACAAUGGUAUGUAUAAUGGGGUAGAAGUUUCAAAGCAUUAAGAAAAAAGAUGAAAGGCUAUAAUUGGGUAGACAUGUAAAAGUAUCUAUAAUGGCCUACUAAAGAAAAUAGCUAUCUGUGCUAAAAAGAGAUAAGUUCCACUUAGGAAAAGAAAAAAAAUUCUAUUUUGGUAGACUUUAACAGAAAAAAAAAAAAAAAGCACAGGUAAAUUAAGAGAUAGAAACCUCUGUUGUCCACUUGUAUAACAAAUUGUAGCAACAAUCAUCAUCUGGUUUUGGUGGACGAAAAGAAAAGAAAAAGGUGAUGGAUUGGUUGUUACUUCCUUCAACUUCUCUUCAAGAACAACAUUGUACACUUGUUCUACCACUUCCAUAACAAUAAAAUCAGUAACUAUGGUGUGGAAUGUAGAGCAAAACAUUAAGAUGAAAUCUAGAGUUGAUAAAAAAAACAACCAUGAAACAACAAAAAUGUAUGUUGAUUUAGGCAAUUGUCUCUAAAUUUGAAAAAUUGAACAAACUAAUAUCAAAAUCCUAACCUUCAUGAGUGUUCUCCAAAAUAAGGACCAAAUAUGAAAAAAUCAGCUACACUCACUGAACAAAAAUCUUAUAUUACUCUAAAAGGAUUAAUAAUCAUUCUAUAUUAUUACGGAAUCAUUGAUAUUAGAUAACAAAAGUUAUGUAUUAAGUAGUUAUAGUAAAACAAAAUUACCUAUUAAAGUAGUAAGAUAUGAUCUGGUAACAAAGAUUGCAAUACCUGAUAGCAUUUCUUGUACAGAUCAGAGAUGAAAUCCAUACUUUAUUGGCGUAAAGGAAAAAAGUUACUGAAUAGGAAAGCAUUGUAACAGAUAAAUUUAUACCUCAACAUUUAAUUGUCGAACAUCUCAUGCUCAAUUUGAACUUAUGGAGCCUGUAGGAAUGAAGUGUAUAAUUAGUUUCUUGUCUACAAGCUAUGCAUCUAUUAGAUGGACCUCUUCUUUGUAACCUUAUAUUCAAAAGACUGAUUUCAAUUAUAAAUUAAGCAAAUAACAAUGCACUUUCUUACCUUGGCAUCAUAUAUGGUCAUUUAGCUUUUUUUUGACUGCUCCAUUUAUCCUACCAAAUAACCACAAAUUAGUAAUUGAAAUACAUAAAUUAAGAUUCGUUUACGAUCUUCAGAAAUUCAUAUCAUGAUUCAACUUGAUAAACAAACCAACAAACAACAAUAUGUUAAACCUAACACAAUUAGUAAAAUGCAAAUCAAUGAAAGAAAAACAAGAAAAAGCAUUAUUAGGUGCUGAAUUCUUUCAUGAUCUUCAUAAAAAGGCUGACAGAAUCAAACUUGCAAUUUUGUCUCUAAAUCUAAUUGCAAUUUCCUUCACCAUUGUAUUUGUAUCUUUCAAGUUUUACAUUAAAGAUUAGUUUAUUAUAUCUUACCCAUGAAUAUAAUCUUUAAGCACCCUCCAGGUAUGAAGCCAAACCAUGCAUCCUUCUUCUUCAUCAAUUACACAAAAUCUUAGAAAUGUUAACUAUAAAAUUGCAAUUUUGAAUUUGUGUCCCAUUGACAUCAGUCUAAUGCAUGCCAAAAGCAGAAGAGAAGAGAAUAAGGAUUAUUAUAUUUAUACAUAACAUACGUUUGCACUUCAUCUUUGUAGUACACACACAAAUGACACCAACAGGGUAUGAUGGUUGAUCAUCGGAUGUAUAUUUCAUCUUAGGAACAUCCACAUCUGAAACAGGAACAUCAUUCAUUAAUAUUGGUUUAAAUACAAGAAAUACUAAAGUAGUUUCAUUUUUCCUAUUAUAGAAUUGUGCUUGAAAAAAUCUACCCAGUUAUAGCAAUGUCAUAAAGAUACAAAGCAAUUUCCAUUGUAUGAUUGGAUAGAUUUUUCAAAGUAUUAAAAAGAAAAAUUAAAAUUACAACGCUAUAAAUUCAUGGAAUUUUCAUAAUGCAAUGCUGCCCUUAUAAGGAAAAGUGUACAUUACAAUGUUGUAACAUAAAGAAAUGGAAGUACAAUGCUAUAAUGAACAAACUCUAGAAAACUCGCCUCAGAUCAUCCUACUUUCAGUGAUUGCUUAUUAUAUAUACAAUCCUACUUUCAUUUCAUCUUAUUACAACAUUCUACUUUCAAAUCUACCAAGUUUUAGCAAAUCCAUACAAAUAGCUUAAUUAGGUAAACUUUUUUUAGAGCAUAAUGUACUAUUAAGAAAAGAAUAAUCAAAAUAUGAUGCUAUAAACAGGGUCAUAGACUCAAUCAUGAGUUUUAUUUAAAUGCCAAUUUCCUGGAGAUAAUACACAAGCAUGAGUUUUAGGAACAUAGGGGUAUUUCUGGAAACACAAAAAACAGGGUCAUAGACAGAAAGCCAUAAACACCCAACACCCUUAUUUGAGAUUCAAUGGAAAGCUAAAUAAGAACAUAAAAAGCAUCAAGUGUUUUAUAGUUUUAAGGGUAAAAACUUACAUGUUGACACUUUGAUUCUCAGGGGACCUUCUUUUCCUUUUCUCCACCAUAACAUAAGUUCUUUAUUUGGUUUCUAAAACCUUUUCUUGUUGCAGAGUAAUGAAUGGAAUUUGACAAACAAGUUGAAAUUAAGAAAAACAAUCAAUCUCAGAUUAAUGUAUGGAAGUGGUUCAGAAAAUAUUUUUGAAAUGAAUAGAAUUUCUCAAAUGAAUUGGUAUUUGUCAUGUGUAUGAUUGAUGCAAAAGACAUAAAACAUGAGAAUAUAUAACUGGAAUGCAGAAGCAAUUAGACUACCUGUGCAUUAUUAUUAGCCUCUUCUGUUAAUGAAACCAGAUAACAUAACAGGGCUUCUCUCCAAUGUCUUGAGCUGCACAUACCAUAACCUUUUUAUUUUUCAAAGAGACUAUUAAACAAUGAAAAGAGAGCACUUACAUUUGUUAAAUAAUUCUUUAGCUGGAUUUUGUGCUUAAUUCCAUCCUACAUAUAUGCAACAAAAUUAUUGCAUUGGCUUUGAUUGAUGACUAGAAGCCACAAUUUCCAACAUAUGUUUCAUUACCACAUCAAACCUGCCAAGAAAAACAUACCAACUGUGUCAGAAUCAUUGAUAUUAAUAUAAUUUACUAAAGUAUUAUAUGAUCCAAUAACAAAAAUUGCCACCAAAAAGAAAGAGAUGAAAUCCAUACUUUUUUCAAAUAAUCGGUUCGAAUGAAAUAAAGAUAACCAUAAGAUGCUUGUUCAAGCAUAUCACAGCUGAAUGAAGAGGUUCCUACAAAAAAACAGGAAAUUUUUAAACAAUAUUCGCAUAUAUAAUGAUUUUAUACACCAAAUAGACUUGAUUAUCACCCCAUCAGAUAUAUAAAAGUAAACAUCAGCAUCGUUAAGAAGAAGAAGCAGGGGUAAAUGAUUCAUGUUAAAAAGAUCCACAAACUUGUUGAUACUUAGGAUCCAUGGCAGUUGAAGAAACAACAAAAAGGCCUGCACAUUCAUUUGGCUAUUAAACAAGUUACUUAAUAGGAAAGGAAAGCAUUAUAACAUGUGAUGAAUGUUGUGAACAUCUAUAAACAGAUUUGGUUGUGGAAGUGGAACAUCUCAUGUAUUUUAAUUUAAUUGGAAAGGAAACAUAACUUAAUUAAACAGAAACACACAACUUUUAGUUAGAACCAAAGUACACUUCUAUUUCUAAUUGAGUUAGAAACACAAACAAUAAAUUAUCUUUCCCUAAUUGAAUUUCUAAUAAUUCAAUAAGUUGUUUAAUAUUUUAAUUUGGUUUGUGAUUAUUUACUUCUCUCUACAUAAUUUAAUCCGGCAACAUUUUUACCCUCAAAACAAAGCAAAACAACUCUUUAGGUUAAUUAAGACAUUACAUCAAACAACAAAGAAAUACUUUUUUUGGGUUUCAAAAAUAUUCAAAUUUUAGCGACAUCACCACUUGCUUGACCAGUCAUCUUCGUUUGAUGGAUGCUUUCAUGCUUUGGAUUCAAUUUGAUAACAAAAAUUCAAAAAACCAACAAAGAAAAAAAUAGAUGGAGGAGAAAGAGAAAGAAACCCAGAGCGAAAAAAGAUCUGUGUUUUUUUCUUGAUCGAUGAUGACCUUGAACCAAACUGACCGAUGAAUCCAGUAACGAAGAAAAGAGACCUGAAGAAUAUUGGCCUAUUGAAAAUACCUAACAAAAACAAAUAUAAAAUCAAUGAUACAAAAAAAAGGAAUCAAGAACGUUACCUAAGAGACGAAGAGGGAAACGCAGAGGAUUAUUGAACGCGGGAAAAUGAAAAAAUGAGGAAGCGGUGGUGUCGCUAGAAGAAAAAGAGGAGAAGGUUGUGCCUCCAAAUAAAACCCUCUUCUUCUUCUUCUUCUUCUUCAAAGAAACAUGUCUCCGGUGGUGUUUGGAGAACAGUCGGAUGAGUGAAGAAGGUAUAUAUUAAGCGCCAAUACAUCGACCCAACCCUUUCGACUUCCGAAUUCCAACGGUUCUUUUUUAUAAAACCUUUCCAAAAUUACGAUACUAACAAACAAAACUUUUCCAUUUAUCUUAAGCCACAUAACCCCUCCCCUAACUUUUGACUCUUACCAUUUUAAACUAUAAAUUUAUCCUUUAUUGCAAAAUUGGUACCUUACUUUCUCAUUUUACAUUUUAACACAAUUUUUUUUUAUCUAAUUUGGUCCAAACUUUUUUUAGAAAAAUAUCCAAAUAUCUUUUACAACUUUCUUUAUAUAUAUAUAUUUCUUAAAACUUAGCUUUUUUUAGUUAUUUUGUUACAACAAUUAAAUCAUUUUUAUAAAACUAGUUAUUUUACUAAAAAAAUGAUUUGUGUUGUAUGUAUGUUUCUAAAAUUCCUUUAUUAUUAUAAAUUAUAUUUUGUUAAUUCGUUUCUUGUAUUUACAAAAAAAAUAUUAUUUUUACAAAUUCUUAAUAUUUUUUUAUCAAAUCGUUUUAUAAAGUAGUUUUUUUUAAAGUUAUCUUUUACAAAGAUUUAGAUCUUCUCUGAUGCAUGUAUUUUAAGAUUUUUCCUGUAUUUACAAAUAUAUUUUUUCAAAAAUCCACUUCUAUUUUUUUGCAUAUUCAUUUUUAUGCAAUUGUAGUUAUAAAAAUAUGUUAAAAAGUUCUAUCUUUUUAACAUAUUUGUUUAUAAAUAAAUAAAUAAAUAAAUAAACUAAAAGUGCACCAUAAGCAAUGCACUUUCAUGAUAUAACUUAAUGUGUAUAGUAAAUUACAAUUAUGUCUUGUUUGUUGCACAUGUUAAAUUUUCUACAACGUAUAUUAUACAUCAUGCAAUUUCCUUUGUUUUACAAUUUUUGACCAAUUUCUUUUCAAAUUUUUGCAAACCCGGGUUAUUUCCAGUGGCAUCAUCAGAAGGGUUCCGAGUGGACUUGGGAGCCGGAGUCUGAGAUGCGUGAGCAGUACCCUAGUUAUUUCCAGAAGAUGACUUCGAGGGCGAAGUCUGAUUCUAGUGAGGGAGAAUUGUAACAUCCCUAUAUCAGGUGUACCUUAUCAACCCUUGUUCUUUUGGUAAUUGUCAAGUUUGGUCCUUUAUUAAAGAAAAGGUGGUAAGUGAGUACGCGGGGCGUACGCGUGUGUACGCUCAGUGUGCUCAUGUGCGUGUUUUUGACGCGGAAGCCACCUAGUACGUUGCGCGUACCAAAGGGUACCCUGGUCGUACUAGGCCUAGAGUGAAAACCCUAAUUAAGGGUGUGUCUAUAUUUAAAGGACAUGAUGGCCUCAUUUUUGGCCACCACUCCCAUACCUCAACCCUCUCAAACCCUAAUUUCUCGUCCCUUGAGCUUGUGUGUCCAUUUGUGAGCUAUUAAGUGCUCUUGUGGUUUCUUUGGAGUGAAGAAGGAACUUUGAAGAGGAAGGAGUGGGGGUCCAGGCUUUGGAUUUGAGCUUAUAUGUGUUGGAGCUUCAGUUAGAGGUAUAAAGCUCAAAGCUUUCUCAUCCUUUUGAUUUGUGCUUUAUGUGGUCCAUUUUAGGGUUUUUGGUCCCAAAGCUUGAAGCUUUAUGAGUUGUUGAAACUCCAGAGCCUAAUAUUUGUCCCUUAGAGUGUUUUAAUGGAGUGGUUUCAUAAAAAUGGAGUCUUGGACGUCAAAACCACCCCAUGCAUAAGAUAUGAGCAUUCUUGAGAAUAGAAAAGCGAGAGUUUUGGUGUUUGUGACUUUUUCAGCCAUGCAAAGGCUUAAAGUCACAGACUUUAUGGAGUGUGACCCUUUAUGGAGUCCAAAUCUAAGAUUUGAGCUAAGGUCAUAACGAAUUAAGACCAAAUGAGUAGGAAGAGAAAAUACGGGGUGUACGUUGAGCGUAAUCCCAAUACACGCAGCGUAUGGUUGAGAAUCCUCGAUGCAUGCAUGGCGAAGGAGUACGCCCAACGUAGAGGGCUUGUACGCGCGGCGUAUGCGCUACCGUUGACUUUUAGGGUUUGGUCAAUUUAUGGACUAUUACGACCAUGGAAGGGUAAAAUGGUCUUUUAUCCUUUUGUGAGUUUGUAGAAGGGUUUAGUCUAGCUUCUUUGAGAGUCGUUAUUAAUUAGAGAUAAUUAUCGUAUGUGUUAGGCGGAGGAUAAACCGGUGAUUUGAAUUCGAGGUUAUCCGAUUUCUUACGAGGUGAGUCUUCUCACUAUACUUACCUAGAGUGGUAACUUUGUGUAUGACUGAAGGGUCUUAUGUGUUUAUAUUGAGUAUUGUGAUAUCCUGCAUUAUGUCUUUGUGAUUUAUGUUGUGUAUUAUUCUGAGCUAACUGAGUUAGGACUGGAGGGUCCACCCGAGUUGUAGGACCGGAGGGUUCCGUUGAGACACAUUUACCAUAGGGUCUUAUUUGAGUAUAGCCAUGAGAGGCUAAUUGUUCUGAUGCCAUGCAACCCAAAUGGACCAUAUGCCAAAUCGGGUCAAUUACAUACCAAUUAUAGUUAUGGACUUAGACACUAAUCCAACAUCAACAUAUCUUCAAGUUUAGUAUGUGCUAUGUUCCUUUGGUCUUUGGGUAUGUUUACCCUCAAUAAAGGUGGUGUGGAAUUUUUGUUCAUAGUCGGCUCAGGUUUUGGUAGCAUUCAGGAUCACCUUGGAAGUCUUCAUGAGAUGGUUGUGCAUUGGUGGAAUCUAUUCAGUCUCAACCAAGGUAUGGGGUCUUGUUCCAAUCAUUCAUGGGGAUAUCUUCUUUUAGUGAUUGAGUUUUGUCGUUUGAUAGAACUUCGGUAUUUCUCUCCUUUUUUGGAUAAUGUUAUGGGGUAAUUCAUUAUAUGUAUUUCCUAGAGGGGUGUAUGCUACUGGACAAAAUAGAAUUGGAGCACUUGGUUCGAAUUAUAUGCAUGGUUCUUUUGAGGUUAUGGCCUUUGAAUUGGAUCAAGAAUAUGUCCAUUUAUCCUAUUAUCGGGUCGUGUGUGGCCAUGAUUUCGUCAUAUUUUGCGUUGAUAGCAGCGUGUUUUGUGAAAGGAAUUGUGUGUGGUUAGACCAUGGCGGGAUAAACGUGUUGUAAGACUGUGGGGUGUGUAACAUCCCGAGUUCAGGAGUGCAAGUUCAGGGUUCAAAGUGAAAUUGUGAAUGGUCAACUCGACGAGUUCAUGGGUGGACUCGGCGAGUAGGGUUGCAAUUCUGGUCGCGUGUUAAGUGGCCAACUCGGCGAGUUGGUGCUGUAUGGAGAAAGCCCUAAUCUCGGGAGUUGUGCCCUAUAUAAAGAACAUAACACCUCUUCCCCAGCCUCUCUACCUUCCCUUUGAGUUCCAGAAACCCUAGAUUCGCGUGAUCGAGCUUUCCUUGGUAAGAGAUUAGAGCCUUGGAGGAAGGAAUCUUGGAAGGAAAUUGAAGAGCAAGAAGAUUGGAGCAAGGGGCUUUGCAUGGAUUUGGUUCAUUCUUCAGUUGGACCUUUCUCUUGAGGUAAUAAUCUAUUGCUUAAGCUCCUUAAUCCUUUGUUGCUUGAAUUUUUGGGGCAUUUCUAGAGUUAUUUCGGGUUUGGGGGUUGGAUCUGAGGUUGCUACCUCAGAUCUGGACUUGAGAUGGUCCAGAAGAUCAUAAAGUCCCUGUUCUUGAGUUGUGGGUGAAGCUUUCUUGUCCCAAACCCUAGCCUAAGAGUGUGUAUGGCUUAGAUCUCUUUGGAUUCACGUAAAGUUUGCCACUUUAUGUGAUGGGUGGCUUGUAGGAGANNNNNNNNNNNNNNNNNNNNNNNNNNNNNNNNNNNNNNNNNNNNNNNNNNNNNNNNNNNNNNNNNNNNNNNNNNNNNNNNNNNNNNNNNNNNNNNNNNNNNNNNNNNNNNNNNNNNNNNNNNNNNNNNNNNNNNNNNNNNNNNNNNNNNNNNNNNNNNNNNNNNNNNNNNNNNNNNNNNNNNNNNNNNNNNNNNNNNNNNNNNNNNNNNNNNNNNNNNNNNNNNNNNNNNNNNNNNNNNNNNNNNNNNNNNNNNNNNNNNNNNNNNNNNNNNNNNNNNNNNNNNNNNNNNNNNNNNNNNNNNNNNNNNNNNNNNNNNNNNNNNNNNNNNNNNNNNNNNNNNNNNNNNNNNNNNNNNNNNNNNNNNNNNNNNNNNNNNNNNNNNNNNNNNNNNNNNNNNNNNNNNNNNNNNNNNNNNNNNNNNNNNNNNNNNNNNNNNNNNNNNNNNNNNNNNNNNNNNNNNNNNNNNNNNNNNNNNNNNNNNNNNNNNNNNNNNNNNNNNNNNNNNNNNNNNNNNNNNNNNNNNNNNNNNNNNNNNNNNNNNNNNNNNNNNNNNNNNNNNNNNNNNNNNNNNNNNNNNNNNNNNNNNNNNNNNNNNNNNNNNNNNNNNNNNNNNNNNNNNNNNNNCGAGUUGAGUCGCGGAUUGGGAGUUCUGAGUAUAGGGACUCGACGAGUCAGCGGGUUGACUCGGCGAGUAGAGUCAGACAGGAAGGUUAACUUUGUCUGAGGACUUUGACUUUGACCAAUGGUUGACCGGUUGACUUCCAGGGGUAUUUUGGUAAUUAUUGGUAUUUAUUGAGUUAAGCCUUUUGGUAUUGAUCAGUGGUGGAGUUCGUGUCGGAAGUUAGAGCAGCAUGAUCUUAUCUGUUUAGUCAGCAGUUGCGAGGUGAGUUAUCCUCACUAUAUCGACAGGGUCUACGGCACCAAGGCCGACCCUUUAUCGGAUUGUAAUCCGGGUAUCAUUGUUAUGUUAUUGCUUUGCUAUUUUGCAUCCUGGUAGUUAGGAUGGUAUAUGUUAGAGACCUGGUUAAGGUCGGUGUCCUGGUAUNUAUAUAGGAUGAUGCUAUGCUAGUGACCGGUUAGGUCGGUAUCCUGGUUAGGAUGAUGUUAUGCUAUGUGAUAUGUUAGAUCAGUUUGAUUGGAUGUGAUUUGUUAUAUGAUUGAAUGUUUAUGUGCACAUGGUUGUUGGACUGGGGUUGGGUUGAGGCGGGACCUGCUUUGUGCUGUAGGCCAACACACCCAGGGCGGACUGGUUAUCCCGAAGGCCCAACGAGCGUUCCGGAUAGGUUGUAGGCCCUAAAAGGGCGGACCAGACGUGCCGAGGCUCGGAGAGUGGACCAGGCCGNAAUAAAUAAAUAAAUAAACUAAAAGUGCACCAUAAGCAAUGCACUUUCAUGAUAUAACUUAAUGUGUAUAGUAAAUUACAAUUAUGUCUUGUUUGUUGCACAUGUUAAAUUUUCUACAACGUAUAUUAUACAUCAUGCAAUUUCCUUUGUUUUACAAUUUUUGACCAAUUUCUUUUCAAAUUUUUGCAAACCCGGGUUAUUUCCAGUGGCAUCAUCAGAAGGGUUCCGAGUGGACUUGGGAGCCGGAGUCUGAGAUGCGUGAGCAGUACCCUAGUUAUUUCCAGAAGAUGACUUCGAGGGCGAAGUCUGAUUCUAGUGAGGGAGAAUUGUAACAUCCCUAUAUCAGGUGUACCUCAUCAACCCUUGUUCUUUUGGUAAUUGUCAAGUUUGGUCCUUUAUUAAAGAAAAGGUGGUAAGUGAGUACACGGGGCGUACGCGUGUGUACGCUCAGUGUGCUCAUGUGCGUGUUUUUGACGCGGAAGCCACCUAGUACGUUGGGCGUACCAAAGGGUACCCUGGUCGUACUAGGCCUAGAGUGAAAACCCUAAUUAAGGGUGUGUCUAUAUUUAAAGGACAUGAUGGCCUCAUUUUUGGCCACCACUCCCAUACCUCAACCCUCUCAAACCCUAAUUUCUCGUCCCUUGAGCUUGUGUGUCCAUUUGUGAGCUAUUAAGUGCUCUUGUGGUUUCUUUGGAGUGAAGAAGGAACUUUGAAGAGGAAGGAGUGGGGGUCCAGGCUUUGGAUUUGAGCUUAUAUGUGUUGGAGCUUCAGUUAGAGGUAUAAAGCUCAAAGCUUUCUCAUCCUUUUGAUUUGUGCUUUAUGUGGUCCAUUUUAGGGUUUUUGGUCCCAAAGCUUGAAGCUUUAUGAGUUGUUGAAACUCCAGAGCCUAAUAUUUGUCCCUUAGAGUGUUUUAAUGGAGUGGUUUCAUAAAAAUGGAGUCUUGGACGUCAAAACCACCCCAUGCAUAAGAUAUGAGCAUUCUUGAGAAUAGAAAAGCGAGAGUUUUGGUGUUUGUGACUUUUUCAGCCAUGCAAAGGCUUAAAGUCACAGACUUUAUGGAGUGUGACCCUUUAUGGAGUCCAGAUCUAAGAUUUGAGCUAAGGUCAUAACGAAUUAAGACCAAAUGAGUAGGAAGAGAAAAUACGGGGUGUACGUUGAGCGUAAUCCCAAUACACGCAGCGUAUGGUUGAGAAUCCUCGAUGCAUGCAUGGCGAAGGAGUACGCCCAACGUAGAGGGCUUGUACGCGCGGCGUAUGCGCUACCGUUGACUUUUAGGGUUUGGUCAAUUUAUGGACUAUUACGACCAUGGAAGGGUAAAAUGGUCUUUUAUCCUUUUGUGAGUUUGUAGAAGGGUUUAGUCUAGCUUCUUUGAGAGUCGUUAUUAAUUAGAGAUAAUUAUCGUAUGUGUUAGGCGGAGGAUAAACCGGUGAUUUGAAUUCGAGGUUAUCCGAUUUCUUACGAGGUGAGUCUUCUCACUAUACUUACCUAGAGUGGUAACUUUGUGUAUGACUGAAGGGUCUUAUGUGUUUAUAUUGAGUAUUGUGAUAUCCUGCAUUAUGUCUUUGUGAUUUAUGUUGUGUAUUAUUCUGAGCUAACUGAGUUAGGACUGGAGGGUCCACCCGAGUUGUAGGACCGGAGGGUUCCGUUGAGACACAUUUACCAUAGGGUCUUAUUUGAGUAUAGCCAUGAGAGGCUAAUUGUUCUGAUGCCAUGCAACCCAAAUGGACCAUAUGCCAAAUCGGGUCAAUUACAUACCAAUUAUAGUUAUGGACUUAGACACUAAUCCAACAUCAACAUAUCUUCAAGUUUAGUAUGUGCUAUGUUCCUUUGGUUUUGGGUAUGNCAAUAAAGGUGGUGUGGAAUUUUUGUUCAUAGUCGGCUCAGGUUUUGGUAGCAUUCAGGAUCACCUUGGAAGUCUUCAUGAGAUGGUUGUGCAUUGGUGGAAUCUAUUCAGUUUCAACCAAAGUAUGGGGUCUUGUUCCAAUCAUUCAUGGGGAUAUCUUCUUUUAGUGAUUGAGUUUUGUCGUUUGAUAGAACUUCGGUAUUUCUCUCCUUUUUUGGAUAAUGUUAUGGGGUAAUUCAUUAUAUGUAUUUCCUAGAGGGGUGUAUGCUACUGGACAAAAUAGAAUUGGAGCACUUGGUUCGAAUUAUAUGCAUGGUUCUUUUGAGGUUAUGGCCUUUGAAUUGGAUCAAGAAUAUGUCCGUUUAUCCUAUUAUCGGGUCGUGUGUGGCCAUGAUUUCAUCAUAUUUUGCGUUGAUAGCAGCGUGUUUUGUGAAAGGAAUUGUGUGUGGUUAGACCAUGGGCAGUGACCAUGGCGGGAUAAACGUGUUGUAAGACUGUGGGGUGUAUAACAUCCCGAGUUAGGAGUACAAGUUCAGGGUUCAAAGUGAAAUUGUGAAUGGUCAACUCGACGAGUUCAUGGGUGGACUCGGCGAGUAGGGUCGCGAUUCUGGUCGCGUGUUAAGUGGCCAACUCGGCGAGUGAGUGCUGUAUGGAGAAAGCCCUAAUCUCGGGAGUUGUGCCCUAUAUAAAGAGCAUAACACCUCUUCCCCAACCUCUCUACCUUCCCUUUGAGUUCCUAAAACCCUAGAUUCGUGUGAUCGAGCUUUCCUUGGUAAGAGAUUAGAGCCUUGGAGGAAGGAAUCUUGGAAGGAAAUUGAAGAGCAAGAAGAUUGGAGCAAGGGGCUUUGCAAGGAUUUGGUUCGUUCUUCAGGUGGACCUUUCUCUUGAGGUAAUAAUCUAUUGCUUAAGCUCCUUAAUCCUUUGUUGCUUGAAUUUUUGGGGCAUUUCUAGAGUUAUUUCGGGUUUGGGGGUUGGAUCUGAGGUUGCUACCUCAGAUCUGGACUUGAGAUGGUCCAGAAGAUCAUAAAGUCCCUGUUCUUGAGUUGUGGGUGAAGCUUUCUUGUCCCAAACCUAGCCUAAGAGUGGGUAUGGCUUAGAUCUCUUUGGAUUCACGUAAAGUUUGCCACUUUACAUGAUGGGUGGCUUGUAGGAGAGUAGAUCUAUGGAUUGGAGCCCCUGCAUGGCUUGGAAAGCCACUGUAUGGAUUAAGAACUAGAGAUACUCGUCGAGUCACGUGGGUGAACUCGGCGAGUUGGAUGAAGAUGGGCAGGAACUCGACGAGUUGGAAGAACAACUCGGCGAGUAGGUUGAAUGUUUCCUUGGACUCAGCGAGUCUGUUCUUGGACUCGGCGAGUUUGGUCGUGGAGUCCUAACCUUUUUGGGUUGAGCUGUGAAUCGGUGAGUCGAGGGACGACUCGAUGAGUUGAGUGGGAAAGGACUUAGAGUUUGUUGGACUCGACGAGUCUUGGGGCGACUCGGCGAGUUGAGUCGCGAAUUGGGAGUUCUGAGUAUAGGGACUCGACGAGUCAGCGGGUUGACUCNNNNNNNNNNNNNNNNNNNNNNNNNNNNNNNNNNNNNNNNNNNNNNNNNNNNNNNNNNNNNNNNNNNNNNNNNNNNNNNNNNNNNNNNNNNNNNNNNNNNNNNNNNNNNNNNNNNNNNNNNNNNNNNNNNNNNNNNNNNNNNNNNNNNNNNNNNNNNNNNNNNNNNNNNNNNNNNNNNNNNNNNNNNNNNNNNNNNNNNNNNNNNNNNNNNNNNNNNNNNNNNNNNNNNNNNNNNNNNNNNNNNNNNNNNNNNNNNNNNNNNNNNNNNNNNNNNNNNNNNNNNNNNNNNNNNNNNNNNNNNNNNNNNNNNNNNNNNNNNNNNNNNNNNNNNNNNNNNNNNNNNNNNNNNNNNNNNNNNNNNNNNNNNNNNNNNNNNNNNNNNNNNNNNNNNNNNNNNNNNNNNNNNNNNNNNNNNNNNNNNNNNNNNNNNNNNNNNNNNNNNNNNNNNNNNNNNNNNNNNNNNNNNNNNNNNNNNNNNNNNNNNNNNNNNNNNNNNNNNNNNNNNNNNNNNNNNNNNNNNNNNNNNNNNNNNNNNNNNNNNNNNNNNNNNNNNNNNNNNNNNNNNNNNNNNNNNNNNNNNNNNNNNNNNNNNNNNNNNNNNNNNNNNNNNNNNNNNNNNNNNNNNNNNNNNNNNNNNNNNNNNNNNNNNNNNNNNNNNNNNNNNNNNNNNNNNNNNNNNNNNNNNNNNNNNNNNNNNNNNNNNNNNNNNNNNNNNNNNNNNNNNNNNNNNNNNNNNNNNNNNNNNNNNNNNNNNNNNNUGUGGAUAGACUCGGAGGGUGGACCAGGUGGACUGUAGGCCGGUGAGGCGGACCAGUCACACAGUAGACCCGAAGUGCAUGGUUGUUCUGUAUCGAUUCUAUGAUAUGGUUAUGUUUUUAUGGCAUUGGUAUUUGGGGGUAUCUCACUAAGCUUUUGGGCUUACAGUUGNGUUUAAAUGUAUCAGGUACUUCAGGAGACUGUGGCACGGCAAAUGCAUGAUCGUACCGCUCCUCGAGUUUUUAUGUGAUUACGAUGUGGUUUUUGGGAAAUACUCUGAUAAUAAAUGUAUUGAAAACCUUUUUGUAAUAACUUUAUGAAAUUGGGUUGUUUUUGAAAAGUUUAAAUUGGUUGGAAUUUUUAGAGUGUUACAAGGUGGCCAUAGCAUUCACUGGAUUAACGGAUAGUAUGGAAGCGUUGUAAGUCUGCAAUGGGAACGUAGCAUUCACCAGAUUGAGGUAGACCAUCGUUGGGGUUGUCGUAAGUAUAAAGCAGGAUCAGCUCGUGCCUUGGGCAAGGCGGACAGUGGGGUCGGAGAGCAUAUCUUUGUUAUGGGAAUAGGACCAUUAGGGUCCGAGACGGGUUGGGCUUGUGUAGCUUUCGUUGGGUGAGACCCGUGGGUAAUGCCCGUAUGAUUAUGGAAAUGCAAGUGAGACCUGGUAGAGAUCGAUUAAGUCGAUGAAUUGGAUUAUGGUUUUAGUAGGAUGAUUAUGUGGCUAGGGAGUGGCAUAGAGUGGUGCACAUGCUAUAAUAGCCUUAUCUGUUGGACUCUCAUGAACCUGGUGGCUAGACCAGGUGCGAGACUGGCAGUCUCAGCGGUGGUUUAGGGAUUUUAUAUCCCGCUUUAGGGAAUGGUUGUCGUGAAUCAUAAGAGUUCGGGUGAAACGCAAGUGUAAAUCCUUGGAUCUCAGGUUAUGGGUUAUGUACCGAGUUGGCUAUUGGUUGAGAUUCACAUCGGGAAUCGUUAGUGUAUAAGUGCAAAAUAUGUAUCUCAACAAGUUAUGGAUUUAGGAAUCUGUAUGUCGGGUUAUCAAUUGGAAGGUUCAGGGUUAAAAGGAUGUUUCAGUUAUGAUGGUAGGAGGAUACCCUUAUGAUUGUGUUUCAGAAUGAUUCUACCUGUGCGGAGGUCAGGCGAGUUAUAAGGCUUCGAAAUGUCUCCACUCAUGGCUCCAUCAAUCCUUCUGUUACAUCCGAUCAUAACAUCCUGACAACUUGUCGCCAUCGAAUCAGAUACGUAAAGUGAACACUACCAAAAUAUUGUAGUCUUACCUCAUGUCCGAUCUCUAGCGACCUAAGUAGUUAAUAUCGGCGAUUUCCAGGUGAUUUCCAGGUGGGAUAUCGGUUAUCGGUACUUUUCAAAAUAGCGGUGUCAAAUAUCGGUCCAAAUUAUCGGACUGCAAAUAUCGGUGAUAUUUAUCGAUAUUUAACCGAUAUUUACCGAUAUUUCCAGGCGAUUUCCAGAUGGGAUAUCGGUUAAGUAAUUUUACGUGCUAUUUUUUAGUGUUAAGUCAUGGUCUUAAGUCUUAUGGACUUAACUUAACUGAACCUGUUAUUAUGUUAAGUACUUAAUUGUUAGUCUUAGGUCAUAGACUCAUGUUUUAAGUAUUAACCGAUCUUAUUGUUAUGUUAAUUGUUACAUACUUAAGUGUUAACUUACUAGUUUCUAUAGGUUUGAUCAUGUUGAUGUGUUAAAUACAUAAUUCUUAAAUGAUGAUGAUGAUGAUACUAGAGUUGAUGUUGAUGAUCUAGAUAAAAUAAUUGGAUGCCUUGGUUUAUGUGGACUUGGAGGAAGAUUCCAUGGCUUACGUAAGAUUAUGUUUCGAACAUUGACAAUUUUGAAUUUUGAAUUUUUAUAUUACUUUUAUAUAUGUUUUAUGUUUAUAUAUAUUAAUUAAGCAUGAUAUAAAAAACACCGAUAUCCCACCGCGAUAACCUAUAUCCCAAAUAUCGUCCCUUGACCGAUAUUUGAUUUUGGACCGCUAUAACUGCCUAGCUAGCGACCUACCGUUUCCUGAUUCCAAUCAUGUUGUGGUCUACCCUCUAUCUUGCGAACUUGAUUACCCUGACCUAAUCAUCUGAAAGAAUCUGUGAAUGCUACGAAUCAUUCCGCAGUCUCACAACACUUCCCACACCAUCAGCCCACUAGUGAAUGCUACAACUACCCCCGCAGUCUUACAACACUUCCCACACUAUCUGAUCGCUUGUGAAUGCUACGGCUACCCCUGCAGUCUUACAACACUUUCGCUUUAACACAACCGCAGCCCGAUGCCUUACCCUCAAUCUAUCAAUCCAAUUACCCUCAGAGUCUAACACACACACCACCGAACACCCGAAUUGAAUUCAAUUCAUGACUGGAACCCCAAACUGAUUCCCCAAAUUCUGCUAUCAAGUACCAAGAAGACGUAUUUCUCAUGCUGGGGAGUUUUACCGAACCCCCAACUCACACAACCCUCAAACCAAACAGCCACUUAGACCGCCUUCCUCCCUAGCGGAAAUGCGAAACUUAUCCCAAUUCCAAAACCGCUCCUGCUUCUGAAUCCCGAGAUAAUUCUCCCCCACUUAGAUCCGACUAAGUCUUCACAAUACAUGAAAGUGGGAGAAUUCCCAAUCGUUCUCACUUUCCAACGAUCGAUCCGAUGAUAACCAACUCUUUCCAACUAGUGCUCCAUUACCAUCCAAUCCCAAAUGAUCACACGCUUCUAACAACUAGAUGAACACUUCUUGAAUCUCAGUGAAACCGACAAUCCCUAAUGCUUGAAUGAUCCCACACUCAAAUCUUGAAGGCCAAAAGAUAGAUGCUCCAACUAAUACCUCAACAAUGAGUUACUUCCCUUGGCGCUUUCAUCUACCAAUCAAUAACGGUUAUGAAAAAUCACUGAAUCCUAAAAAUGUUGAAUAAUCAUCCUGUAGGACCCUGUCCGCAGACCUCCCACAUCAUACCCAUCUUCCCAUAGUGCUCCAAACAAACCUCCCGCUCUCGGGCUCUAGAAAUCAUGUCAUUCAGGGUCUCUCACCCUGACUCACUCACUAGCUCAGUCGUCCACAGCUGAACUACGGUAGCUGAAGUAACCUCUACCCUAAACCGGGCUACCAACUACUCCCAAGACAUAGUCUCUAAUCCCAAAAGCGCAAUAGAUCGCACAAUCAAUCCUUACCGCCCGAUACAAGAGAUCCAAGGCAAAUCGGAUCUUAGAUCCUAUGGGUAAGGACGGUAAUCACGUACACCUCACAAGAUACUCAUGCCACAUCGACCCACCCGAGCUCACCAGCGCUGAAAUACUGUCGCCAACCCCUGCGACCAACUGACCCUGAGCUGGAAUACAACCUAAUCCUGGGUCACAAGCUUGCUCACUCCUUCGAGCUAUAAAAAAAGGUACAAUACUUGCCCUAGAAAACGACAUUCCAAUCCAUCAAUUAACCAUUCUACUUCCAGCUACAAAGCUCCAUUUGAUCAUAAUCAUCACUCCCUUCCGGAAUCCCCGCGACUCGAAUCCCGGCCUCGAACAAAACCCCUAAAGCCUCAAAUCCAAAAACUCCCGCACCACCCUCUUCCGCUCAUCCCGCGGAAUGUAACGAGUACGGAGCAUCUCCCUGAUCUCAAGUAACUGCAGCUCUCUGAUCAUCAGAAUAUAUUCUAAGUCAUCAUCUGACUCUAGGAAGAAUCCCUGUUUAAACAAGAAGAAUAUUGUUCAUAUGAAGAUUAAGGGUAAGAAGGCUCUUGAAAAAGAAACUAUGGCUAAACAAAGCCCUAAGUUCCUUGAGAAAUCAUAUAAGAAAGUGUCACAAAAAGUAGGUAGUUUAGCUACUAGGAAUCACAAUUCAUUCAUGCCAGUUAAAAUAUUUAAGAGCCCAUCUAUUCUUGUUAGCUCGGAUAUUCCUACUUCCACAAAGAAACAUUCUGCAAAUAUGUUAAUAUUGAGUCAUCACCAAAAAAUAGUAACUAUCUUCGAAAAGUGUCAUCUCCAGUAUUUACUGCCACCUCGAAUGGAAAAAAAUUUAAGCAAAAACAAUCUCCAAAUGUGCCUACAAGAGAUAUGAAUAAGGGAAAAGAUACUCAUAACUUUUAUGUUUGGAACCCCUUAAAAGGUCCAAAUAUGAAAUAUGAAUGGAAGGCUAAAGAGAAUGGAAAUUUAACCGAACAAUCUGUCAUUCUGCAUACUCAAAAUCAUAAAUGAUCUGGUACAAUUUCAUGCCAUUCUGUAAUCAAGAUCAUGAAUUUAGAGUUCAGACCACUAAACCUUUCAAUUUGAUUUCUUACAGCUUUGUUUCUAUGCCAUGAUUAUGUUGCUUAACAUUGUUUCUUUUCCCGUGAAAUCUAUAGACGAAUUUGGUUUCUAAUGAAAUUGCCACUCUUCUAAUGAUAAGAACAUUGUUAUGGACCCUUUGAAUAUAGAGCAAAAUUUUGUACAUCAUGAUGUUCCCCAUUAACUUUACUUAAAACGAGCACAUACAAUGUUAUCAAUCUUUUGAGUGAAAUGACAGAAAAUGUCUAUUAAUCGAGUUAACUACAACAUUUUACAUUUUUUUUCUUAUUCGAAAUCUUGUGUUGACUAAUCUUAAAAGUUCAUACUUUGUUAGGCCAAGCAAUGUCAUAAAUUUUUCACCGGAUGUAUGUUGAGGUGGCUCCUUUAUCGUUGGUAAACACCUGGCCGCAACAAGAUUUUUACCGUCGGGUUUCUACCGGUGGCAAACGUGAGGCAAAUGAUGGUAUUUGUCUUUCUCUCUCUACCCACUUUUUUUUUACCCAUGGUUAAUCCUUGUAGUUUCUCAAAGUUUGCUGCCAUUAAUUACACAUUGAUGUUUGACUUUAACUGCUACAAUAUAGAAUGUUGUUGCUUUUUCUAAAGUUGUCAAAGUUUGUUGUCAUUUAUGGAGGUUUAGUGUUUGGAUGCCUCCUGCUCUUAAUUCAUAUAGAUAUCUCAACAUUCAUUGGCUUCUGAAACAUAGUAGACCUAUUCAAGACUCAAACCCUAUACUGAAGUAAAGGAGCAAAGCACAAAAGUUUGUGGGCUAAAUUUUGACCUUCAGUGUCAAAUUUAACUUUGAAAUCCUUUAAAAAUACUACAAGAACUAAUCAAACAGGAAUGUGAGAGAUAUUAUAGACACAAUUCAAACAAGUUAAGAACCUCAAGUUUCGCUGAUAAAGAUUCAAUUUCAUAAACUAUCAUCUUAGCCAUCUCUUCAUCUAUGUCAACAUUUUUUUUGACAAAACUGACAAAAACAAGGUAACCACUUGUCAAACAGAUUCAAGGAAACCAUAAACAGCUACAACCUAGUAGUUCAAAGCAUGUAUGUGAAUCUUGUUGUUCAUGAUUAACAACAAUUGCAAUAAAUAGCAAACUACUUACAUUUAUUUGUUUACCAUAGCAUCCUACAUACAAGUCAUGAUUAUUAAACUUUCAACAAGCCAUUAACAUAAACCAUCAAUAAUGAUUAACAUUCUCAACAAACAUCUCUUUUUCUCUAGUCCUCUUGUUCCAAGUUCAUUGUAUGGAUGCUGCAAGAUCACUCCCACUACAUACACUAACAAAACUAACCCAUGAAUGUACAUAUGAACAUAACUUUUCAUGCAAAUCAAUUGUAAAAACCAAAAGUAAACGAGUUUUUGUACCAUAAUUCAAGAUGUUAAAUGUUUUUAGAAGCAAUGAAGUAUGUAAAACCCAUGGAAGUGUUGUGUAAGCUAAAAAUCAAUGGAAAAAUAGGUACUUUUAAAAUUUGAACUUUUCUAAAAGGGAAAUAAUGUAACUUUCAUGAAAAGUGUUGUAGUAUUUAAACAUCUUAUACUUUUUUUUGCUUGUUGAGCAACUCAUCAAGUUCAGGGAGAGCAAGGAACAAGAAUGAAAGAAAACAAAGAGUCAAUUUUGAUGAGUUGAUAGGAUGCUCGAUAUAUUGUAUUUCUUCAUCUACUCAAUCUCCUUCAUCUUAACCAAACCAAAGUCGAUCAAAACCCAAAAACUAAAUACUCUGCAACAUGAAAUUGCAAUAAAUAUAAUAUGUGGGUCAGGGUGAUAAAAGUUGGAGGGCAAAAUAGACAUUUACCUAUCAAAAUGGUCAUUUUCAUAAAUUUAACAUGAAAAUGAAAGAGAUGAAGAAGACAUUGGCAAGAUGGUCAUUUUCAUAAAUUUAACAUCUAGGUGACGACCUAGGUACCAAGAGCGUUAUGAAACCAUAAAAUAAGAACCAAAAUUGCAAUGUCUAAGUAUGUUAAAUUUUCAUAGGGCAUUGUUAACCAAAAAAAAAAAUUCAAAAGUACAACGUUCAUAUAUUUUGAAUAUAAAAUGCUAUAAAUGUUAGCCAAAAUGAAACAAGUUCAGAUUUUCAAAAUACAAGUCUUACUAGGUUAGUUUUUGAAAAUGCAAUUUCUUAAUAGAAAAACAGUUGAAAGUACAAUACAAUGUUGGAUUUAGAAAAUACAAUAACUUGAAGGAAAAAUAGUUGUCAAAAAAAUUGAACUAUAAUGCUGUAAUUGGCAACCAAGUUCAAACAAGUUUGAUGUUUUAACGGGAAAAUGUCUUGAUAGGUUAGAUUUUUAAAAUGAAAUGUCGUAAUAAGAAAAAGUAAAAAGUAAAAAGUCUUCACAGGUUAAUAUGAAAUUUAUAAAACUAUAAUGGGCAACCAAAAACAAACAUGUUUAGUUUUUUCAAGUAUAGUGACUUGAUAGGAAAAUAAUAAAAUUACAAUGUCUUAAAAGGUUUUAUUAUCAAAGUAUAAUGCUUUAAUAGAAGGCUUUAUAUCUUCGCAUCUAAAUAGCAUUCAAUUACAAUAUAAAAACUCAUGAGGAAAUAUGGAAAGGAUUUUAUAUUCUUUCUCAUAAAAUUGCAACUUGUGUCCUAUUGACAUCAGUCUCAAUCUAAAUUCUAAUGCAUUCCAAAAUCAAAAGAGACGAGAGAAAGGAUUAUUAUACGUUUAGACUACAUACUGUUGAUAAAUAACCUGAAGGUGAAAUCCAUAAAUGAAGCGUGUUUUUCAUUUCUGCCAAUAUUUUAAGUUACUCUGUAUCGUAUGCAAUUAUGAAAUUCAAAUAUUUAUAUUCAAUGCUUUUUACAUCAUAACAAAAAUGAUAAUUAAGGAGUGAAAAAACCUCUCUGAUGAUCCAUCGUGGACCAAAAAAAAAAAACAUCCACAAACAUGUUGAUACCUAGGAUCUGCAUGUCAAUUGAAGAAACAACAAAAAGGCCUGCACAUUCAUUAUAAUCAAAGACUUACAUGUAACUAACAGGAUGAUCAAAGGCUUCAUGUGUGCAAGUUCAAGUUCUUAAUUGGAAAAACCCUAAACCCUAAACUAAAAGUUCAAGUUCUUUAUUGGAUAAAUACACAUACACAUAUGGUUUGAAAAGGAUACACACCAUGUUGAUACAAAAUCAGGUUGAUAAGUUGCAUGGGAAAGUAAAUAAAUACUGUUAAACUCUUACAACUGUGUGCAACUUUCAUGCAGUAUAAGUGUAUAACUAGGUGAAAAACUUACAGUUGAGAUGGGUAUAGUUUCUAUAGGUGAAAAGCUCCUUUGUCACCUACUUAAAAGAAAAAUAAACAUUUCUCAGAAAAACCUAGUAACAUUACAUUGCUAAAUUGGCUAGUAAACAAGUCACUUAACCACACACCUAAUAGAACGUGAAUAAGCCUUAAUGAUUGAAAAAUACAAUAAAUUUAUCAUACCCAACAUAUCAUAUACUCUGUUACAUAAUCGUGGAGCAUAUUAGGUCUCAAAUCCACCAUCAUCUCAUCCACCAAUUUCAAGUUGUUCUACAUGAAUGAAAAUGCAUUGCCUAUUAAGUUAAAAAGAAACAGCAGUUUUGUAUGCAUGAUGUGAUUAGGUACAAUAAGGAAAUCAUUAUCAUGAACUUAAUUCAGACAGAAGAUGAAAUUUGAUAAAAUCCAACUAAGCCACCAUAGUACACCAAUAUCAUCUGGUUGGACCUUUCAUAUAUGUGUGAAUUUGAUGGAUACAACUUAAUUUCAAGACUUCCACCAGCAACAUUUGCAGUCAGGUUUCUAUCCCCUAACCAUGUAGGAAAAGGAAUAAGUUCCACUUAAGGUAAGAAAAGAUUAAACUUUGGUAGACUUGAAAAGAGAAGGAAAAAAAUACACAUUUGGUAUCCACUUGUAUACCAUAUUGUAGCAACAUCAUCUUGUUUUGGUGAGCUAAAAGAAAAGGGUAAUGGUUGUUACUUCCCUAAAAAGCACCAAUUCAUAUAGCAAAUAAAUCAGUAAUCAAAGAAUGGGUAGAAAUCAUGAAAGAUUAAAAACUCAAAUCAAAGAAACUCAUGUUAUUGGAGAUAGAUGCUUAAGUCUGUUAUUACGAUAACAAGAUAGACUUAGCAAAAAGUUCUAAAAUGUGAUUCAACAAAAGGAUUUGAAGUUACCUGAAUAAUAAGCUUAGAAAAUGAUACAACCUUUAACCCCAGUUGUUGAUGAGUUCUUGAAGGUUGUAGCUUCAUUUCAAUAAAGAAUCUUAUCAGUGCAACCAAUAAGAAAUGAACCAAAUGAUCAACUAUCAAAACAACAGAAGUUAUCAAUUAAGUGAGUUCAUAACAAAUCAAGAACAAAUGAAGAACAUGAUAGAUAUAGUGAUUCGAGAUGCAAUGGUCUCACAAAAGAAGAAGAAACUUCUAAAAUAUUUUGCCUGCCUUUCUAACAAACGCCCUCCCAUAAAAUAUAACCUAAAAUGACAGAGGAUCUGCCUUAAUUCCCAAAAUGCCCCUGCUGUCCCACUAACUUUGUAGUGCCCUCGUGGUUGUCUGUGGUUCCCUCUCCCAUUGGAACCUUUUGUCUCUGAUAGGUAAAUUGCAAGGGUGAAUGCACAAUAGUUUUCAGUGACAAAAAGAUGAGCAACUGAAAUGUCAACGUGAUUAAUUAGCAACUAAUAAAAAAUUUAACCAUUGUGCAACCAAUAAGAAAUGAAGCAAAUGAUUAACCAUCAUACCACUAUCAAAAUAUGUCAAGGUGUCAUAUUCAAUCAAUGUAAUGUUUGAUGAUGACUAGCUGUAAAAGUAAACAUUCCAUUUUCAUGUCUUCAAUUUCUUUGGAAGAUCGACAUUCAACAAAAUCAGUAACUAUGGUGUGAAAUGUAGAGCAAAUAAAAGAGGGUUUACAUUAAGCACGUGUAUAUGAAUAUGAAAUCUAGAGUUGAUAAAAAAAAAACAACAAAAACAUACAUUGACUUAGACAUUUGUCUCUCGAUUUGAUGGUUGAACAAACUAAUAUAUCAUAUCCUAACCUUCGUGAGUGUCAUUCAAAACAUAAUCCUCACGAUUAACCCCAUGUGUGAAAUACUCAUGUAUUAUUUGACAAUCUUCCCCUAUUGAACUGAUUUCAAUAAGAGUUUUUACAAACCUCAAAUAGGGACCAAAAUUGAAAAAACCAGCUACAAAUAUUACUCUACAAAGAUUGAUAAUGUAAUUAUUAUUACAGAAUCAUUGAUAUUCGAUAGUGAAAAUUAUCUAUCAAGUACUGAUAGCAAAACAAAAUUACCUAUUAAAGUAUUAAGAUAUGAUCCAGUAACAAAAAUUGCAAUAUAGACCAGCAGAAAGAAUGAGAUGAAAUCCAUACUUUCUUAACUAAAUUCUCAUACAAAAUAUUUUUAUUCACAAAAGAGAAUUGAUUAUAACCUCAUCAGAGAUGUGAAGGUAAACACCAACACCCUCUUUAUAUAUAUUGACCACUUGUUUUUAACAUUUCAGCCCACCAAAGACUACAUCAUGUGGCAUUUCCCUUCCCUGAUGUCCCAUUUUCGCUGAAUAAAAUCACACAUUUUAAAUAAAUAAAAGACUUGACUAAAUAACAAAUAUCUUUUCUAAAGAAUUACCAGGCAUACUAAAUAAGUGCUGAAGGCAUUUUCCAUGAAUUAUUCAACAUCUUUUUUUAUUGAUUCUACAUGAAGCAUGUUAAUCCCAUCAUUUCCUGAAGAUAGAUAAUACACAAGCAUGAGUUUGGAACAAAGGGGUAUUUCUGGAAAUACACAAAUAGGGUCAUAGACUUGUAUCUUUUGUAAUCAGUGGAUAGAAGGCGGUAAUUUGAUAAAGCAAAGUUCAUAAUUUCGUAACAAUUGGAAAAUGGAUCAAGAAUAUUUUACAAAACGACCAACAAAAAUGGAUGCAAAAGACAUAAAACAUGAGAAUAUAUAACUGGAAUGCAGAAGCAAUUAGACUACCUGUGCAUUAUUAUUAGCCUCUUCUGUUAAUGAAACCAGAUAACAUAACAGGGCUUCUCUCCAAUGUCUUGAGCUGCACAUACCAUAACCUUUUUAUUUUUCAAAGAGACUAUUAAACAAGGAAAAGAGAGCACUUACAUUGGUUAAAUAAAUCUUUAGCUGGAUUUUGUACUUAAUUCCAUCCUACAUAUAUGCAACAAAAUUAUUGCAUUGGCUUUGAUUGAUGACUAGAAGCCACAAUUUCCAACAUAUGUUUCAUUACCACAUCAAACCUUCCAAGAAAAGCAUACCACCUGUGUCAGAAUCAUUGAUAUAGAGAUUCAAGCUAAACUACAGCAAACAUAAGUCCAAAUGUUUUUUGUAGCAAUAACAAUCAAUAUGCCAAAUUCAUCCUAGUGUAUAUUAUUCGGAAAGGAAACCUAACUUAGUUAAACAGAAACACACAACUUUAUAUGCAACUUUUAGUUAGAACCAAAGUACACUUCUAUUUCUGAUUGAGUUAGAAACACAAACAUUAAUUUAUCUUUCGCUGAUCAAAUCUCUAAUAGCUCAAUAAGUUGUUCAAUAAUUUAAUUUGGUCUGUGAUUAUUUCAAAGUGAAGUCAGUAGAGCAAGCUUCAACCAAAAUUUUCAUAUGUAGGAAGCCAAAUAUUUUCAAUAUGACAAAAAUUCGAAAAAUCAAAAUCCAAAAUUUACAAAACAUGGAAGAAUCUGAACAAAACCUUAGAAAUAGGGCAAAGCAUAACAGAAAUGACCAUAACCAAAGCUACCAGUCCAUUUUUUCCGCAUAAAACACAGAUAAAUGAAAAGAUUGCUAUUACAACAAUACUGUAAUAAAAAGAAAUGAAACUAGGGUGAUAUAAGACACAAAUAAAUGAAAGUAAGUUCCAUGACAUCAGGAGACAAGGGUGAUGCACCUGAAAACCAUAAAAGCAAGUUAGUCUUUUUAUUUUGUUAAAUACUAAUCUGUCCCACAUAGCAUAGGAGAUGCACUCUUGCCUGAAAGAUAUAAUAUAUUCUUUAAAGUUGGGAAAGCUAAAAGGCUCCCUUGUGCUGAUUUUUUUUUAUAAAUAGUUACCUU